UUGGAUUGUCCUCUGCUUCUGCUUCUGCUCCUACUUCCAACAGUUUGCCUACUUUGUUUGGAGCAUCCACAGUUUCUGCUCCAACUACCAACAGCGCAUCGGGGUUUGCAAUAUCCAAUGGUGCAUCAUCAACUGGUGUGUUCCCCUUUACGUCAUUUGCAACUACUGCCACAUCUCAACCUGCAUUUGGUAACUCCAAUCCUAUGGGCUUUUCUACAGCUCCGUCUGGUAAUAAUGAUCAAAUGAGCAUGGAAGACAGCAUGGCUGAGGACACUGUUCAUGCAUUACAACCCACAGUUGCAGCCUUUGGUCAACAGCCUGUCUCAGCUCCUCAAUCUACACCCACGUUCCAGUUCACCCAGCAACCUGUGUCAACCCCUCAAACCCCCUUUGUAUUUGGAGGUUCCUCCAAUGGCUUCCCGUUUCAGAGCCAACAAAACCAAUCCAACUCACAGAAUCCUUCCCCAUUUCAGCCUGUCAAUAGUUUGGCCAACGCGCAGAACCCUUCACCAUUUCAGGGUUCUAAUAGUCUAGGUUUGCCCACCAGUAGCUUCUCACUGGGCGCCCCUGACAAGUCUAAUAGAAGGAUUGUGAAGGUUAACCGUAGCAAGAACAGGAAGAAGUAGGGAGAAGUAGUUGGAUUGGUUUACGAAUGAGGGCAUAACUGCGCUUGUCAGCUUCCAAAUAUCAGAUACAUUUACUUUUCCUUUCCAUUAUUCUUAGGUGAAAAUUUUCGUGGUUGCCAUGAGAGGGCGUAUUCACAUUUUAUACCGGUUUUGUAGUUUGAACACUCGAUCCAUUAUUUGUAACGUUACAUGUAUGCUUAUUUUGUUAGUAUAUGAUGUAUGUCUCAGCCUUGUUGUGCUGUUCUCCACCAUUUUCUGUAGCUAUUUGUAACAUAAUUGUAAUGGGUCGGAUUGUGUCCUCUACAGGCUGCUACUGCUUUUACGCCAGCAAUUCGUUUAUCAAGUAUUUUCAGUCUUUGUAGUUUUUGUAUUUCGGGUGUUUGCUUCUACAAAUUGGUUGUAGGCGUAACUAGCUAGCGUCAAAAAGGUGAACCCAUACGCCCUCCGGUCUUCACCUAUAAUAUUUUCUGUUAGAGACAAUUAAGGAUUGGCUGAAAUCAAGCUAUAACAUGAUUGAUUUACAAAAAAAGUCUUUUUCUUGUAUGCUCCUAAUUACUAUAAAAUUUAUUGGUCUCUACACACUUCAUUUUCUUCCGAGUCCAUAGUCCCUUGUGCACUCCUCUGUUCACUCGUCUCUCUAGCACAAUCGCCUAGGUUAUCCCUCCUCCAUUUUGGAUCGUUUAGGAUCCACUUGGCACUCCUUCAAUUAGCUCAUGCAAAUAUUUGCAAAUAGAGAAUAUCAACCAUUCUCGACUUCUAUGUAAUCCGUUUAGAGUAGUUGAAUCAUAAUAUUUAUUGUACAUUUUAUUUUACGAACCAAGACCUCUAAUACUACGGUGAGAAAAGAAAUAGAAUGAAAGUAACAGCUCAACAACAAAACCAUAAAUAUGCAAAGUAAAAUAGUAAUUUAGGGAGGAAAGUUUAGCUCACGACGAUUAAUAAAAGGAAAAAAGAGAAGGAAGAAGCGAAGCAGGUUCAAUAUCAAAUGUGGAGGAAAUUAUCAGUAGGGUUUGCUGCACUGACGCAGCAGCAGCUAUGUUGGCGCCACUCCACGGCCACGGCCACUGCUGUGAACUCGAUGCUCCUCCGCUCCCUGAAAGAGCACUAUCUGGAAGUGUCCAAAAUGACCCCUCCCCCUAAAGUGAACCCUCCAUCGCCUUUCACCGUCGUCAAGGGCGCCCUCGACGGCACCGGCCCCGUCCUCAGGCGCAGCUACGGCGACGAAGAAAUCAGCAUAGCCGUGAUGCGAUUGGCCAAUAUUAUUCCCGACGCCGACGCCGACGCCGACGACAUCAACCAGUUGUUCAUACACGUGGACGUUUCGAAGCCCAGCGAGAAGGAGUCUCUGCUUUUCCUCUGCGCCCUGUAUCCGGACGCCUUAGGCAUUCACUCUGUCUCUAUGAGGCGCAUGGCUGAACCCUCUGCGCUUCGUUCCUCUGCUCUUCGUUAUAACGGCCCUCGUUUUGAGUAUGUUCCCUAAUUUAUUCUAGCACAGCACACCUCGUUUGGUAUAUAUGAUGUAUGUCCAUGUGUUACAAUUACCACUCCCAUUCCCCGAAUUUGCACCAACUUAGAACUGAAUACUUCUUACACUGGAAGUACGAACUCUGUAAAUAUCUUCUCCAAUGUUUUGUCUAACUUUGAACCAGACUUUAUUGCUUCUGAGCAGUAUUCAUUUGUUAAAAAUGUUUCAAUUGAUUUGUAUGCUAAUUCCUAACAAAUUGUACUUGGUAUAGAAGAACCCCGAAAAAGAAAAAGACAAGGAAAAAAAAAGUUAUUCUCAAUGUUCUGCCCGGACUUAAGUGGUUGAUUUUUCUUAUUUUAUUAAUUAAUACCAUGAUGUCUUCUCCAGCUCAACAAUGACAAUGUUCUGUUGAAUGGUUCCGUGAAGAGGUUAUAAUUCUCAGAAACAAUGACAAGCUAAAGUUUGGGGUUUUCUUCACCGUUAUGCGCUCCAACAGCUUCUUGAUAUUGAUUAUGCGUAUAUAACACAACUCUGUUAACCCUUUUUUCUUUUAAAUCUAGUUUUCUAAAAUUUAGUUUGAUUCUAGGUAUUAUGCAUAUGCUAUUGCUUGGAAUGGUUCAGCCACUUGUCACAAUGUGUAAGGUGGUGUACCUUGAGUUAUUUGACUGUUUUCAUUAUAACUUGAUUUUUUCCUUCCUGAAUUCUUUAUAUCUCUUAUUUAUUCUUUUAUCUUUCAAUUUUUAGUUUUUAUGUUACUUCAGAAUAAAUCAGAUAUGUAGAAUGAGGUAUUCCUGAUAAACUGAUACAAUGUUUGGGUUGACUUGUUUGCCAAUUGACAGAGAUCUUGAUGAAGGGAUGAGGGAUGCAUUCCACAGCUACAUAGAAGAGCGGGGUGUGGGUGAUAGUCUUUUUCCAUUUCUUCAAGCUUGGCUUUAUGUAAAAGACCAUCGUAAUCUCAUGCGCUGGUUUAAAUCAGUAGGAUCAUUCGUUAAUGAAACCAAGUCAGUUUAAGAUUCUUAGCUUCAGGUCAUCUAGAAAAGGGAAAAAAAAACAUGUAUUUAGCAGUUCCAAUGCUAAGUUUUUCCCUCAACACUAAUUUGUCCUAGUAAGAUUUGUUUAGAAGUUCUGUGGUGUUUGGCUCUUUUUGAGUUAUUUGUGUUACAUUUGAUAUGGUAGUGCAGAGUCCUAUCCAAUAUACCCCUCUUUGAAAAAUAUUAUCCGCUGGUUUUUCUCAUAUGUAUUCCAUGCCAUCUGUGGUCAAAUUGUUUGAUUUGUUUUCCGGUGAUAUUACUAGAACGAAUCCUGUAGUGCAGUGUAUUCUCUUCUGUUUUCCUGGUUAAUACACACUGCUGAAGGAGAGAUUUCAGCAUAGCAAAUUCUAGAGAAAAUCUUGAGCAGUAAUGCAGGAUUGUUGGGACUUGCCAAACUUUUGGAGUAAUUAAAUUGCAUAGUUUGCAUCAAAUUAAUGUGCAAGCCUAUUUCUUCGUAUGCAAGGUUCAAUGGUUUAAAGAGAAAGUGAAAAUCAAAUGGUCUGUGACAACUUAUAAAUCUUCUUGAUGAUUUUUACAGUCAAAUUUGAUGACCCUAGAAGUGAAGAGGCUAUGGUAGCUUCUAUGAAUAACUCGGGGAAUAGUCUUUACGGUUCUAGAAUAAAUUUGUUAUUGCGAGUUUUAACCAUGGUAUGGUCAGAUUAAUUGCUGGUUCUUUUAGCGUAUGUACGGGAUGAUUCUAUCAAAUUCCACAAACCCCAAUGCCGAGUCUUUCAUCUUUUCAGCUCCGAAGAGCCGAAGCAGGUUUCAAUUUUUUGGGUGAAUGAGACUAGCCCUCACCUCUUGCACAGUUGCACGCUUGCCCAGCAAAGACAUAAGUUACACCAGAGGCAGCUAUGUCCCUUAUUGUAACAAUCCUAUGAUCAUUAUGGUAAAGCGAACAUUUACAUGUGUGUAUAUAAUUCCUUUGGGUGGACAGGUAAAGAAUCAAUUUUAGUUGAACCUCAAUAUAGCCGGAUAGCUAUAUCACCUGUAUGUAUCUGAACUGAAGUGAAGAGACUCAAGAGACAGACCUGUACACUGUCAUCAUGUCAAUUCCACUUGAUGGUAGUCUUAGAGUAUUAGCAGCUGUAAAACUGUCAUCUAUGGUAGUCUUCUUCAUCAUCUGAUAUCUCAAUCUCUGAAGAUACCUUGAGCAAUUCAGUUAAAUAACAUAAUUUCAAAUAUUGGUUUGGAGUAGUGAAAAAGGCAGCAAGAAUUUCCAAAUUUCUUCGAAAAAUUUGCUUGGUGUAGUAUGUUGGAGUUACUGCCUCUGUAUGGGUGAUUGAGUGAGCAUUUUGUUCUCAGGCACCAUGUUGAUAGGAUUCUUCAGACUUCAUAAGAACAACGUUUAUACUUGAUGCUUGAGAAGAAGGACAGAGCCUUAAAUACAGUUUUGUUUAAAGCCCGAGCCCAUAUAUUCAUCACUGGCCCAGACCCGUAACUAGAACAAAACCUCAAGUACAGAAGACCUUCAGCGUUCUUCCGUUCUUCAAUGUCAGACUCAACAUGUCAAAGGGAUUCAGGCGUCCAGUUCUGGAGGGAUCGAAUUGCUGCUUUUCUCUUUUGAAUUUUGCUUCGGCUAACUUCUGAAGCAACACAAGGUAUGUUUGACAACUUACACUUCAAUUUUUGCAUCAGGAAGGGUUGUCGUUUGGAUAUACGAAUGGGUUUUCAUACUUGAUUGAAUUGCAAUCACCUUGUUCUUUAUAUAAAUUCUGCAUAUAUUUGGGCUCUUCUGUGGUUUGGUUUGUGCGUUUUGAUUCAUGAGGUUGAGAAUUGUGUUCAUGUGGCUUGUAUGAUAUAAUGAACACCCUUUUCCUUGCGAUGGAUGUGGGCUUGGAAUAAUCCUAUGUUGCUGCGGUAGAUGUGGAGCUAUAAUUCAGAAUAAGCAAACCCCCCUAAAAUAUGAACUUCAGUCUUGUUAUGUUUUUCACAAUUAAGAUGCCAAGUUAAUCAGUUCAAAAAGGUAAUCUGGAACAUUUGGUUAUUAACAUUGUAGAGUGAUUUUCUGGAAAUCGUAUUGUUAAUUGUGUAAUUUUAGAUGCAGAACAAUAUUACAUGUAGUCUCUAGAUUCUUAUUUGAUGCAUUGAAACUUUUCUCUAUCUAAACUUUUCUCUAUCUGUAUUAAUUACUAGUGCUAUUGUAAUUCUGUUUUAUUUUGGAAAAGAGAUUAUAAUCUUCAAGUUGGAAAAGGGAUUAUUUGGAUUAUAAUCUUCCGUUUUACUAGGUAAUUUAUAAAUCUUUUAUGGUCAUUGUUUUUGGGUAUGCGCAUAUAUGUUGUAUCAGUUCAAUGUGAGCAUAAUAGACCAGGAAAUAGCUAGAAGAAACAUGCUCUUCUAUUAAACUUAAAAGGUUUUGAAUCUUUUCAUGAAUAAUGGAACAUGUUCCAUGAGAAUUGAAACUCCAUGUUCUGCAGUAGAAAUGACACUCAAUACAAGAUGCAUUUCUUUCUGGCAAACGAAUCCCAUGUUUUGAGAUUUCAGUUAUAAUUGGCUGAAUGACUUACGGAGUCAGACCGCAGAAUCAUACUUGAGUACGAACAAAGGCACAUUCAUGCUUGUAUUGCACAUACUCAUUAACCAUUCAAAUAUAUGGUACGGUCUAGGCUUUUCUGAUGUUUUAGAAUUAUGAACCAACUGAAUCUAAGAAACCAAAUUGACGGCACUGUUAGGGGAAAAUGUAUUAAGGAGAAGGGGUCUACUGUGUCGUUUUCAUCAGCCAACUCUGAUAUCUAGUUCUGCUGUAACUCAAGAUGUUGCUAAUCAAUGUAUUAUGUUCUUCUCUUUCUGAACGAACACAUAUAUGUUAAGAUAUUGAUGUUCAUGUGUUUAGGUUAGUAUGAAAAAUAUCUGUUAUUGGAUGAUGAUUUAGUAUCUGCAUCAUUAUGAUUUCAGUCUAAUAAGCUUUGGGCUUUCAUACAAUGCAAAUCAUGAAUUAGUUUUGAUUUGGAAACAAAACAAGAAAAUCAAUUUUGGAUGCAGUUUUGUUUAUAGUUGAUGCUUCAGAAGAACAGAGCCUUAAAUACAGUUUUGUCUAAAGCCGGAGCCUAUAUAUUCAUCACUGGCCCAGACAUGGGGAGCAGUUGAAAAGCAAAUUCAACUGCAGAGACUUUAGCAUCUUUAGUAGGAAUACUGUGGAGAUCGAUUGAUGCAAAUGUUGGGGAUACUGUUGAGUUGUUGCCUUGUAAUCCUACUUACUGAACUAAGGGAGUUUAAAGUUGUUAACACUAAUUAGAUUGUUGCCUACUGAGCUACUGUGCUGGGUUUAGUAGGGGAUUUUAUUUUAAGACUAGCAGCCGUACUUUAUUGUUUAGUAACACUCAAGCUAGAAGAUUCAUAUGUGAAAGACUUAUUAUUUGUUUGGUCUACUGGAGUCUGCCUAUUGAGUGCUGACUGGAUAAUGAUUUACUCUCACAUGUCAUAACCAUAACCCCGGCAAAGGUCGGUUCUAUCUGAUUCUUCGUAUGAUGCCAACUAUCUACUUAUCUGGCUUUUGUCUUCUGAAAUGUCAUGUUGUAGCUACCAUUACUAUGGCUUAAAACUAAAUAAUACCCAUGUUAAAUCCUCCAUCUUGAAACAUUGUAUGUGUUCUCCGGCAUAAGGUUGAUUAAAUGCUAGUAUGUUCUUGAAGAACUAUCUUGAACUCAGGAAAUACAAACUUGCAGAAUGGUUAAAUUUUGACAAAUUAUGAUUGCUUGUCCGUUGUCUACCCUUAUAACUGGCAUCACAAGUAUCCCUGUGUCUUACUUAUUUGGCUAUAAGGGACUAUGCAUAGCCAAUAUUGCAAGUUUCUGUAUCAUCACCUCAGUUGAGUUAUUUUGUAUACUGCAUCCUAUGCCAGAGGUCGACGAAAAGUCUGAAAGGAGACAUGUUUGGAAAGUUCAUUUUGUGUCUUCUCAUCAUCCUAUGCUCUUCUUAAGUUCAUUGUGUUGAUACUGUUACUAUUAUUGUUGUCUUAAGUAAAUGCUUCCCAUAUUGAAUGCUCCAUGAAGUAUUUUGUUCUCAGGCACAAUGUUGAUAGGAUUCUAGUAUCUUCAUGAUGUUGAAGAACAAUCUUCAAAUAAGAAAAUGCUGCUUCCUUCACCUCUGAAGAUACCUUGAGCAAUUCAGUUAAAUAACAUAAUUUCAAAAAUAUUGGUUUGGAGUAGUGAAAAUGGCAGCAAGAAUUUCCAAAUUUCUUGGAAAAUUUAGCUUGGUGUAGUAUGUUGGAGUUACUGCCUCUGAGUGAGCAAUGAACGCCUGUAGCAAAGACACUAGUUAUAUUUGUUGACAUUUUAGAAAUAAAACCCCAGAGCUGAGAGCAAAUGCAUCCUCGACCCAAGAUACAAACCUGCAGAAGCAUAAACCCAAUACCCGUUUACAAAACACACGGAUCCAUGUGACCCGACCCAUUUAUAUUGAUCGUGACCAAAACAAAAACCCAGAAUUGGGGAUUAGGAAUUCGAUUUUGGGAUGAUUUUGAUGGUUUUCUGUACAUGGUUAGUGCGCGAUUUUGAUUAUGAUUAUAAAUAUUGUUGCUUCUAACUCUGUUUUGCAAGCGCGGGAGCAUCCCGGUACGUUUUCAAUCUCAAUGAUUUUGUGCGAUUGAUUCGUGCAUGAAAACCUUAGAACUCGCCUGGGGAGUAGGUUGUGGUGCCCAGAUGAAACUUCAAUUUCUAAUUGUUUGAAAGAUGGCAUGCAUGAUUUGGCUGUGAUUGUAUGCUUAUGAAUGAUUCGAUGAAAUUUUGGUGAUUCUGACUACUUAAAUGUAUGAUCACGCAUAGCUUAAGAUUGAAAUUGACAGAUAUGUAUAUUUUUACUCCCAAAUCUAUAUAUGUUUCUUGAAAUAUCAAGAUUGAGCAUGAUUGGUUUUCUAGAAAUGUACAAAUACAAAUGUACUAUGUUACUUCUAUUUCUAGAAACUGAAUUUCAGUCACUGUUUUUUGGUUAAAGACAAUUGCCAUUUUGCUGUUGAUUUAUGCAAUCGGAUUGAACUUUGCUGAGUUUCGUUUUGAUAUUUGCGAUGAAAUCAAUUAAGGAUAGACUAAGGGCUUUUGUAAUUACCUACGAAUACCCAUGUAUUGUGAGGGUAUGUAGUGUGCUUAUGAGUUAUUAUGCAUAUAUGUCUCUGGCAUCUUGUAUUGUGGAAGUGGAACCACAAUUGACUUUCGGAUUCAAUGUUCUUGGUUUUGAACAAGGAAUCAGAUUGAUGACUAUGUAUAUGGAAUUAUGAAUAAGAUAGUAGUGAGCAGGUAUAUCAAUUGCUUAUUUCCUUUUGUAUUUGCUGCUAGCACAAGGUUAUGGAUAUCUGGUUAGACACUUCAUACAUAUACAUGUAUGUGUAUUGGUAUAUAUCUUACAGAUGAAUGGUUAUAGAUAUCCCUUAUCAAACAUGUCCAUUAUGUUAAUUGUUUCGGGAAGUCUAUUAUCUUGAUUAUUUGAAUUCCAUGAUUCUUGUUUUAUUGGUUUUCUAUAUGGCAAACACAUGUAAGCACUGGUUUUUCUUGCUAUGCUGUUUUGAUUUGGAUAGUUGUCUGCGAUUUCCUAUAAAGGUUAUGGAAUUGGAAUUGAGUACAAUCAGAAUUAUAAAUAGUUUAUAUUAAGUGUGGUGGGAUUCGGUCUCAUGGAUUAUGUUUUACUGCAUAAGAAUUGGCGUGUUCUCUACUGGUGUUUUGGUACAACUGUAAAUUAGAUGAGAAGUAGAAUGGCAAAGAAUUAUGAACCAACUGAAUCUAAGAAACCAAAUUGACGGCACUGUUAGGGGAAAAUGUAUUAAGGAGAAGGGGUCUACUGUGUCGUUUUCAUCAGCCAACUCUGACAUCUAGUUUCUGCUGUAACUCAAGAUGUUGCUAAUCAAUGUAUUAUGUUCUUCUGUUUAUGAACGCAUAUAUGUUAAGAUAUUGAUGUGUUUAGGUUAGUAUGAAAAAUAUCUGUUAUUGGAUGAUGUUUUAGUAUCUGCAUCAUUAUGAUUUCAGUCUAAUAAAUGGCAUCAGAGCUUCGGGCAUUCAUACAAUGUAACGCAGGAAUUAGUUUUGAUUUGGAAACAAAACAAGAAAAUCAAUUUUGGAUAAUAUAACUGGUAAUGAGAAUAUCAGUUUCUUAGGUGCAGAAAGCAACUAAACCUAUAGUAAUAGACUGUUCUCAAUGAGAUUACGUGCAUUAGACAUUCAUACUUAGUUGGACAUGGUUUUGGUAUAGCAUGAUACUAUAUAUACACAUGAAUUUGUCAUGAUAACAUGCUGGACUUGCAUAAUAAAUAAAUUGCAUUAUUCCGUUUUGUUAUUGGCCUUGAUCACAUAUUAUCAGCUUAAUCGAUUUGGACUACUAGGUCCCCUUCAAUACAUGUAGAGCAAAUAGUAACCUAGGCAAAUUAUAAAUCUUUUAUGGUCAUUGUUUUUGGGUAUGCGCGUAUAUGUCAUAUCAGUUCAAUGUGAGCAUAAUAGACCAGGAAAUAGCUAGAAGAAACAUGCGCUCUUCUAUUACACUUCAAAUGUUUUGAAUCUUUUCAUGAAUAAUGGAACAUGUUCCAUGAGAAUUGAAACUCCAUGUUCUGCAGUAGAAAUGACACUCGAUACAAGAUGCAUUUUCUUUCGGGCAAACGAAGCCCAUGUUUUGAGAUUUCAGUAAUAAUUGGCUGAAUGACUUACAGAGUCAGACUGCAGAACCAUAUACUUGAGUACGAACAAAGGCACAUUCAUGCUUGUAUUGCACAUACUGAUUAACCAUUCAAAUAUAUGGUACGGUCUAGGUAAGCCUGCUCUCCUUGUUUUAGUCGAGCAACAUUUCUCACCUUUUAUGUUGAUUUGGAAAUAGUGAAAAUGUUUUCCAGCUUUGUUUGAAAAGUAACACCAGUUGAGUAGUGAGUUUUACAUAUAUAAUAAUUCACAGUAAAUGAAAUUUAAGUGUUUGAAGAGUUGGUUUAUUUUAAUUUAUUUUUUUGAAAAUGUGUAAAGGGUGGCUUUAUCUUAAUUCCUGUAAAUUGUUGUAAUCAAACCAGGGUUAAGGUUGGGUUAAGCAGACCAGGUUUGUCGUAAUCACACCAGACAAAAAAAAAGAAAGGNNNNNNNNNNNNNNNNNNNNAAACCCAUUACAACCACAGACAAAUAUCUACGAGUCCCUCUCUCUUCUCUCUCUCUCUCUCUCACAGAGUUUUGUGGUCUGAGUGAGAUCUCUACCGCCCGCUCCGCCGUGGUUCGCUGUUCCCCCGCAAGGUACGCCUUCCCCUUUCCUUUCUCUCUCUCUCUUCGCGGCGGCGGGUUUCGGUGGUGUGGGUUUUGCCUUUCUGAUCUCGAUUAGUCCCUUGGGUAUGAUGAAGAAGAAACCAGUAAGAAUCUGAGCGAGACAUGCGUGACAUCUCAUGUCAAAUUAUUGGUGCUCUCUCUUUUCUUGAGGUUGAGGAACCAUUUUUUACUAGGGUUUCAUGCUGUCCUGCCCCGAAUUCUGAGGGGUUUUUCUUUCAUCAGUCCCUUAAAAAAAUGGUGCUCCCUCUCUUCUUUUUCUCUCUAUCUCUUCUCUUCUAACACUUGGAAGGCAAAACCCAGAAGAUUUGGCCAUGGACACCAGAGCUGUUGUUCCUCCACAACCCAGAGGUAUUCAUCGAUUUUGAUCUCACCCAAGUGCUUGUUUCUCUUUUCUGGUUCGUUAUUCUUAGUGGGUUUCGUGGUUUUGGUUAAAAGUUGUUCAAUUUUGUGUGGAUUUCUUGAAGUAAUUGUCAUUUCUUUCGUGUUUGGACUAAUGGGUUUUAGACUUUUAGGAUGAUGUGGUGUAGUUCUUGAUGGGUUUUGUAUCAGUAGAAGAAAGAUUGUUUAAAUUGAUGGGUGAUGAUGCUUGAAUUGUAGGCUUGUAGCUUGAAUUGGGGAUUGUCUUCUUGACCUGAUUAUUGGUUGGGUAGGGUUUUUCCUCUAGAUUGUGUUCUUGAUUUGAACAUUGUAUUCGUCUUGAUAUGCCUUUUGUAUUCUCAAAUUUAGAUGAUUGGGUUUUAUGGGUUUUAGUUUUCAACUGGGUUUUCCCUUGGUACUGUAUCUGGUUUAUUCAGAUACAGUACAGUUCUCUCUUUUACACACAGUUCUAAGUUCUAACCGUGGUGACAAUUGACAACCGAGGCAAUGUUACUAUGCAUUACAAUGAGUACUUACGGUAGUAUUAUCACCUUUUAAUUUGAUAUAGGAUGGAGAGGGCUAUCUGGAUUGUUCUCUAUCAGGUUAACCAUAGUUUAGAGUUGAACCAUAAUUCAAAUUGAAUUUAGUACCUCUGCACAUAUGCAUAUUGCAAUGAAUGAAACAAACAAGUUCAACUCAAGUUCAAUAUAUUACCUAUGCACCAUAGUUCAACUUAAAUUUAAAUUCUAAAACCUAAUACUUAUGUGUUGCACUGCACAUAAGGUUUGUUGACUUUCAAUUUUUAAACUUGAUCGAUUAAUCCUUCAUUUGUUGCUUGGCUAUGAUAGGGAGAAUGGUGGUUCUGAUCCAGAGUUGAUUGAGUCUGCUUCUCCUAGAAAAGUGGCUUAUAGUUUCUAUCAUAUUAGAAAUGUCAACCAGGUACCUAUCAUAUUGUUACGCUGUGUCAUCAUCUUAAACAGAUGCAACUGAUUUCUUUUUUCUUUUUGUCACAUCCAGUGUAUCUUCUCAACUGAUCAGUGCUAUCAUCUAUUUGAUUCUCUCCUUUAAUUUUCCUUAUCAUGUUGUUAACUGGGUGCUGAUGAUUUGCAGUUGCGUAUGGAUGACAUCCCAAAGCUGCUGGCAGAGUACAAACAACUACUAUCAAAUUAAUGGAGUGUCAUCCCCUUCGGUUUUGCCAUUGAUCUUGAUUAGUCCCUUGGGUCUAUGAUGAAGAAGAAACCAGUAAGAAUCUGAAUAUUGGUGCUCCCUCUUUUCUUGAGGUUGAAGAACCAUUUUUGACUAGGGUUUCAUGUUGUCCUACUCUGAAUUCUAAGGGGUUUCUUCUUUCAUCAGUCCCUUAAAAAAAUGGUGCUCCCUCUUUUCCUGGGGUUGAAGCGCCAGCUUUGAAGAUUGCUGCUCCCUCUUUUUUAGGGGUUGAAGAACCAGUUAUAUGUUGCCUUGUCUUGAAAANNNNNNNNNNNNNNNNNNNNNNNNNNNNNNNNNNNNNNNNNNNNNNNNNNNNNNNNNNNNNNNNNNNNNNNNNNNNNNNNNNNNNNNNNNNNNNNNNNNNNNNNNNNNNNNNNNNNNNNNNNNNNNNNNNNNNNNNNNNNNNNNNNNNNNNNNNNNNNNNNNNNNNNNNNNNNNNNNNNNNNNNNNNNNNNNNNNNNNNNNNNNNNNNNNNNNNNNNNNNNNNNNNNNNNNNNNNNNNNNNNNNNNNNNNNNNNNNNNNNNNNNNNNNNNNNNNNNNNNNNNNNNNNNNNNNNNNNNNNNNNNNNNNNNNNNNNNNNNNNNNNNNNNNNNNNNNNNNNNNNNNNNNNNNNNNNNNNNNNNNNNNNNNNNNNNNNNNNNNNNNNNNNNNNNNNNNNNNNNNNNNNNNNNNNNNNNNNNNNNNNNNNNNNNNNNNNNNNNNNNNNNNNNNNNNNNNNNNNNNNNNNNNNNNNNNNNNNNNNNNNNNNNNNNNNNNNNNNNNNNNNNNNNNNNNNNNNNNNNNNNNNNNNNNNNNNNNNNNNNNNNNNNNNNAUUGAAGAUCGGUGCUUCCUCAGCUAGACAUCGUUGAAGUGUUGUGUUUUGGCUCGUUGAUAAGUUAGGAUUCAGUAGUCAAAUCCAAAGUCUAGAACAGAAAGAGGACAGUGCUGUAGCUUUUCUAUAAGUUCUAGGAAAGUUGGUCUUUCAAGGUUCUAUUAGGAUUUGUAAUAGACUUAUGUCUAUUAGGUUUAGGAGUGCUAAACCAUGUUGUAUCAGCAGCCCCUAUUUUAUAUAAAAUAGGAGCUGCAGGGGGGUUUCUAAGGGUAAGAGACCGUAGAAAACCGAGGGCUUUAAGGGUGAUAGAGAGAUCUAGCAAGGGAGUUGGGGAUUAGCAUAAGGAUUUCAAUAAGUACUUGUAAUCAGGAUGUCAUUCUCCAUAGUGCUAGUGAAUCUCUCAAGAGAGAUCACAAAGUGGACGUAGGCCAGGGUUUUGUCUGAACCACUAUAAAGUUGCUGUGUGCUGUGUUUCUGUCAUCAAGUUCAUCUUUUUAGCAUUGCUUAAGUCGUAAAGUACCAGUAAAGAUCCUAGGGCGCUGACCACUAUAUGAAGGCCUUCUUUAUGGACAUACAAUUGAAGGGUAUAAUGUAGAGGUAAAGAAAAAUCAGCUUCUGAGCUCAAGAUGUUUGUUGAUAUAGUGUCUUCUUAAUACAACAAAGAGUCAUUCUCUUUGUUGUACUUUGUAGCAGAAAAGAUGGUGACGCCCCUCUUUUCUGUUAAGCCCUAGAAUUGGAAUUUUGUUGUGAGUUUUACAUUUAGAAGAAAAUUACUGGUUUAUUGCUUGCUUGAUAGCAGAAAAGAUGGCGACGCCCCUCUUCUCUGUUAAGAUUUAGAAUUGGGUUUCUGUGGUUUUAAAAUAAGGUUCUGGUUUUUCCUCUGCAUGAGUUAUAUCUUCUAUAGCAUUACAACACUACCGAUUAAAGAAAAUGAUGUGUUGCAUGGUUCCUCAAAAUACCUGUUUAUUUGUUCCUUGAUAAUCAGGUGUGAUACGGAUGUGGAUGUAUGUAUUGUCUGGGCACAACAGUUGCUAAAUUUUAGAAUAAACUUUAUGCUUAAUUAAAUAACAGACCUUGUAUUUGUACUUUGGAUAAAUCUCUAAGAUAGAUAUGGCCGCCUCGUUUUCGUCUUAAUUCUUAUCUUGUUUAUGACUCAUUGCUUAUUGAGCUGGGGUGCUCAUCUUAUAUCAUUUUUUUAUUUUUUUGUGUUACCUUAAUAUUAUCCUGCAUUAUAUUCUGUUGUUUUGGUGUAUAUGCUUGCUAGAUUAGUGUGAUUUCUCUUCUCUCAAAUCAUCAAUGGAUAUAUUUGGUGUUUAUGUUAACCCUACACUUUCUGUUAGGUGUAUUGAAAUGUGAUGAAUGUUUGGUUCAUGGAAGGAACUGGCCAUUGAGGUAGCCUUUUGAGUUGUUACUGUAUGUAAGUAUAAAUAAUUCAGCUUGUCUGUCUAUGAUAUGUUAUCCAGCAAGUUCAUUAAGGAAUUUGUUGUGUAUUGUGUUAAUUUUCUGAACACUAAUAAAGCUUCCUCUACAUCUGAGAUUAUAGGAUACAUCCUUUGACCAUAUGGUCUUGUGUCAAAUGACUGUUAUCUGGACCUUUGAUUGUAUGGAAGGGUAUCAGUUGUCCCAACUUAGUCAUGUAGCAAUAAGACUGAAUCAAAAUGCUAGAAUUGCAUUUCCUUUUAGGUUUCGAAACUCAAAGGUUUAUGAAUCAGUGUCUUCUUAGAUUGUUUUGGGCAAUAUCAGGUUUACAAGGAUAUGCCAUGUUAUGAUGGCUGUGUUGUGGCUAAAGAUAAAUAUAUAUAGGUACAUACAUAACUCGGUAUCAAAUUUAAUUGUUGUUAAGUACUUGCUGCCGGUACUUUAGCUACUAUAAAAUCUGUUAGUGUGUGUCUGUUGACCUGACAUUGGGAUUUUGCGACUCAAUUUGGACAAUGUGUCUACCCUCUUGGUUUAUAUUUAUCUGGUCAUGCACUACAUCUACAUUUAUGUAUCCUACAGUUGUGAAAUUUGAUGUUAGUCAGGACUAGUAUGAAUCAAUGAGUUAUAAUGUUGUAACUCUAGAAGCUUCCUUUUGCUUUGAUUUCCUUCCUUUCUUGGUUGUUUGUUUGGUUGCUUUGCUCUAGGGCAAGUUACACAUGUCAAGUCACUUUACAACUGCAUGUGUUUAUGGUUUGUCUAUUGUAUAGCAGGACCUUAUAUAUUGUGAAUCUAUUAUUGGCAGUGCUUGAUUAAUAUAUAGUCAUGUGAUAUAGUGAUCAAGAUACCUGGUUUGGCUAGAGUGCUAUAGGAUGGCACUGAGGUCAGUUUCAGCUUCAAUUUAUGUAAUCUGUUGGUUUUGCCUUUGGGAAAGUUUCGAGUUAAUUUUAGUAAUUUACAGCUUUAGUUCUAAGCUGAGGCAGAUUUUAAGGCUUUAUGAAUGCACUUGUGAUCAGUCUUUCAUAAAUCAUAAUGAAGUUCAUGAUUUCAUGUGUUAUUGUAGGACUUUUGAAAGUGUCUACCCUCUUUGUUUAUAUUUAUCUGGUCAUGCACUACAUCUACAUUUAUGUAUCCUACAGUUGUGAAAUUUGAUGUUAGUUAGGACUAGUAUGAAUCAAUGAGUCAUAAUGUUGUAACUCUAGAAGCUUCCUUUUGCUUUGAUUUCCUUCCUUUCUUUGUUGUUUGUUUGGUUGCUUUGGUCUCGGGCAAGUUACACAUGUCAAAUGACUUUACAACCGCUUGUGUUUAUGGUUUUUCUGUUGUAUAGCAGGACCUUAUACGUGGUUGUUGUGAAUCUAUUAUUGGCCGUGCUUGAUUAAUAUAUAGUCGGAUCAAGAUACCUGUUUUGGCUAGAGUGCUAUGUGAUGGCACUGAGGUCAGUUUCCGCUUCAAUUUAUGUAAUCUGUUGGUUUCGCAUUCGGGAAAGUUUCGAGUUGAUUUUAGUAAUUUACAGCUUUAGUUUUAAGCUUAGGCAGAUUUUAUGGCUUUAUGAAUGCACUUGUGAUCAAUCUUUCAUAAAUCAUAAUGAAGUUCAUGAUUUCAUGUGUUAUUGUAGGACUUUUGAAAGUGUUAGGCUUAGAUGAAAGGUUUAUAUAGGGGUUUCAUGGUGGUGGCCAAUAAACAGGCAAGUGAAAGUGGUGGUGUUAUCAUCUAUCACAGCCUUUGUGAUUAUCUAUCACACCCCACCACUACUAACAAUCUCAACUAAUUCUAAGAAUAAAGUCUCAACUAAUUCUGAUAUUAGUUUUAUUAGGAAGGGUUAAUUGUACAGGUAUUUGUCAGGAGAAUAUUGUGUAAAGUCUGUGUGUGCUUGCAGUGCAAGCCAUUGUCCUUUUGAAGGGAAAGUUGUGUGGGGAGAGUUUAAUAUGGAGGAUACUAUUUCUAAUGCGGCUUGAAAUUGUAUUGAUAUGAUCUUCGGCUGAAAACAGUUUUUUGGUACAAGUCAAAAAGGUGCCUUCCCAUGUUGUGGAAGGUAUGAUUUCUGAAAAUAAAUGGGAUCAGUCCCUACCUUGUCUACAACUUCAAAUGUUUAGUGUUAUGUUGGAAUGUGCGUGGUUCUGGGGAAAAGAAGUUUAGAACUGCUGUUUCUCAUUUUGUUCCUCUAUAUGAGUUUGAUGUUUUAAUUGUAUCUGAACCUAGAGUUCCUUUCUCUAGAGCUAAAAUUUUCUUCAAAAACAUGUCGUCUCUGAUGCUGCAAGUGUCUGAUGCUAGAGGUUUGCUAAUAGGAUCAGAAUCAUAGCAUGGUAGUAUGUUUGCUAAUAGGAUUGCUAAUAGGAUCAGAAUCAUCAGACACUAGAAACUCUCAUUUUAAUGGUAGUAUGUUUCAUCUUCUUCAUCAUCAGAUAUCUCAACCUCUGAAGAUACCUUGACCAAUUCAGUUAAAUAACAUAAUUUCAAAAAUUGGUUUGGAGUAGUGAAAAUGGCAGCAGGAGUUUCCAAAUUUCUUUGAAAAUUUAGGUUGGUGUAGUAUGUUGGAGUUACUGCCUCUCCAUGUUGAGAUUGAUUGAUGCAAAUUUUGGGGAUACUGUUGAGAUUGUUGCCUUGUAAUCCUACUUACUGAACUAAGGGAGUUCAAAGUUGUUAACACUAAUUUGAUUGGUACCUACUGAGCUAAUGUGCUGGUUUUAGUAGGGGAUAUCCUAUUGCAUUAAUAGUUGUAAGACUAGCAGCCUUACUUUAUUGUUUAGUAACACCCAAGCUAGAAGAAUCAUAUGUGAAAGUUUGGUCUCCUGGAGUCUGCCUAUUGAGUACUGAGUGGAUAAUGAUCUACUCUCACAUGUCAUAACCAUAACCCCGGCAAAGGUCGGUUCUAUCUUCGUAUGAUGCCAACUAUCUACUUAUCUGGCUUUUGUCUUCUGAAAUUUCAGGAGGUUGCUACUAUCACUAUGGCUUAAAACUAAAUAAUACCCAUGUUAAACCCUCCUCCUUGAAACAUUGUAUGUGUUCGUAGGCACAAUGUUGAUUGGAUGUUAGUAUGUUCUUGAAGAACUAUCUUGAACACAAGAAAUACGUUACUUGCAGAAUGGUCAAAAUUUUAACAAAAUUUUAAUUGCUUGGCCUUUGUCUACCCUUAUAACUGGCAUCAUAAGUUUCCCCUUGUCUUACUUAUUUGGCUAUAUUAAGUAUCUGCUGAAGUAAUCGGAACAUGAUUUUAUGAUCGAAGGGAUUAUGCAUAGCCAAUAUUGCAAGUUUCUGUAUCAUCACCUCAGUUCAGUUAUUUUGUAUACUGCAUCCUAUGCCAAGUCCAUGAAAGUCUGAAAGGAAACAUGUUUGGAAAGUCAUUUUGCAUCUUCUCAUCGUAAUGCUCUUCUCAUCUAGUUUGGUGAGUUCGGGCAGUUCAUUGCGUUGUUCUGUUACUAUUGUCGUUGUCUUAAGUAAAUGCUUCACAUAUUGAAUGCUCCAUGAAGCAUUUUGUUCUCAGGCACAAUGCUGAUAGGAUUCUAGUAUCUUCAUGAUGUUGAAGAACAAUCUUCAAAUAAGGGAUCAAUUGCUUUUUUGGUCCCUCAAACGGAAAGUGAACUACUCUCUUGGUGGAUCAAUUCGCUUUCUGUUUCGUAGCUGAAACCCUUCUCGGAUUCUUCAUUCUGUUUCGUAGCUUCCACGAAAUCCCAAUACUUUUUUAGUUUUUUCUUUUUGCUGAUCUAUCUCCACAUGCCACUGUGCAUACAGCUAACUAUCAUACCAGUUUCCAGGCUUCAACUUCAUCUCUUACUGGACAUGAAUGACCAUUUUGGUAGUUUUGAUAGCAUUUAGCAGCACGAAAAGCACUUUUCUAUCUUCAAAUAAAUCACUUCCUUCUAGGUAGGACGAUAAACAGGACUUCGAACUUCUGAUAGCAGCGAUAUGUCUGCAUUUCCCGAAUGGCCGAUUUCCAGCUCUAAUAAAAAGUCAUAGAAAAAAAAAAAGUGUUUUUAGUUUUGUUUGCAGUGCAAAUCCUUUGGCUUGGUCCCAAAUGCCAGCUCUUUAUUAGAGGAGAAGAUUGAAAAAGAAAAAGAAAAAAAAAGAGGAAUGUCUUAAAAGUUUUUCUUCAUAUGCGUUGAGCUCUUGUUGCUCAGAAUACGAGUAAUAACACCCUCUAAGAUUUCUCCCCGCUCUUUGUGUGACGUUCAAACGUGGUACGGAUAUACAUGCAAAGGUCAAGGCAGCAAAACUCUUCAUGUGAAAAUUAGCUACAGUAUUGCAAAGCAUCAAAAGUUCAAAAUUAGCUACAUGUUAAAAGGGAUAGUUCCGAAUUGGAUUGCAUUAUUUUCCUGAUACACCAACCAGCUCAGACGAUAAUGAUUGAUUGCGCUUAAACGAUUACCAAAUAAUUCAAAAACCAAAUUUGACUGACCGAAACUCCAAAGCAGAGCUUACAACAUUAAGAGAUAAGUGGGUAAAAUUAAUUAAUGAAUGAAUUCAAUCAUAAUUAAAUUGUUAGCAACCCUUUGUUCCUUCCCUCUCGCUUUCUCUUUAGCUUGUGAGGGUUAGGGUUUCCUUUGUAUCGAUCCCUUGCAAUCAAAGGUGAGUUGGGUGCGUAGUCUGCGUCGCAGGGUUCCAAACCCUUUCAAAAAGAUUAAAAAAAAUGAUAGCAUAUUGUAAAAGUCACCAAAACCUUGCUAUGAAAGAAGCAGAGACUUGUCUUGUAUUAAGAGUAGAUCGAGGCAAUCAAUCAUCUCCAGGACAUAGUUCUGAAACAAGCUUUACUACUCCCCACAUGGGUGCAUCAUUCUGCAGAAAUCCAUGAAUUAAGUUAAAAAAGAGUACAGUAUCAUCCUGAACAUAUAAGCAAGAAAUCAUGUCAACUUCACCACAUAUGAUGAAUCUUUUCAAUGGAAUGAAGCAAAAUUCCCAGCUUAUGGCACCAAAUCCAUUUAUUCAUCUGAGUCACUCGUAGUAUCUUGCUAUACGUAGUCAUCUUAUAUUCAUUUUCAAAGUUAUAAAACUUAUAAUCUCGUUGCAGCACGACCCACAUAUGAUAUGAGCAUGGUAGUUCCGUGGACAACCCAAAAUCAUCAAAGCAAAUAGUCGGAGCACUAAACUCACCAGGUAAACAACAUCAAAGGCUUUGCUGUAACUAUCAAUGGAAUUCUUAACAUUGUCAUUCCUGAAACAGCAGUUACAAGGUUUAGCAACUAUAUCAAUCUACAAUGAACCACAAUCUUUUCUAUAUGUCUGGCAUGUUUAACAGAUUCAAAUGUGAACCGCUAAAGAAUGAAAAUAAAAAUGAUAUUGUAACCAAAGAAGAGAAGAAAAAAAACCUAGAGCAAUGUAAAAAAGAGAGGAACGCUUACAUUACUUGGCUUAACAAUGUAAAAGACAUUAAAGAUGUAAAACAGACGUAAAACAUCACUGCAAUAAUUGUUGCAAUAUGAACCUAUUUUUAGUUUUUCCUUCUGAGGAUCUCAAUGGACACCCAUUUUAAGCAUAUCCUAUACAAAAGAAAACAUCCCACACAACUGGAAAUAUCAGAGAUGUGGUAGUUGGUCAUCCUAACCCAUACCGACCUUUUAAGCAUACCCUAUACAAAAGAAUCCAACUCCACCGAAGCACCUUAUGUCUUAUAUGCAGAGUGGGAACAUACUAAGGGUGCGCGUGUGUGUGGUGGGGGGGGUGUGUGCCGGGUGUUGUCCAGCUCCCCCUCUUAACAACAGGAAGAGUGGUGUUUGAUAAAUCAGAUUCCCUUCUGCUUAUUCUAGAAGCCAUCUCUAAUAAAGAAAAAAUCAUUUCCUUCUAUUUUUCUCGUGAAGAAAUCAGUUCUACUUAUUAUUUGAACAUUUCCUUCUAUUUUUCUCGUGAAGAAAUCAGUUCUAUCAGUUCUACCAAAUGAUUCUAGGUCCCCAAAAACAAAAUACUACAUGGGGCCAACCUGUCUCAAGAAUGUCAACAACCAUAAAUGCUCUAUAGAAAUAGAAUCAUCCAGUAACCAUCAGGCAGGUCCUGCUUAUGACUUCAUUUAACUUGGCUGUAUAGCUUUCCUUACAAAGGGAUGAUUGCUAUGAAGUGAACUAAACAAAAAGGGAUAUGAAAAUAGAACUUUAAAUUAGUCGCAAGGAAGCUGAAUGGAAGCACGCGAUCACACUUGACGGGUGGGCACCAAUUCAACGUUUUUGAAUGAAUAAGACUAUUGAAUCUACAGAACUGUCAAAUAUAUGGUUACACAAGCCUAAAAGGAAGAAAACAAAGCCCUAAUUUCAGAUGUUGUAAUCAUUGACACUAACUUUAUGCAAGUGAUGGUAUUAACUAUAAAUAUGUUAUACUUUCAAGGUCAUGCCAUUAGCAUUCUACAGAAGCUCCUAAAAGAUAAAAUUUAUACUCAUUUUAUCAAGUAAUUUCACUUUCCAGAUGCUCCUCUUAGCAGCACUAACUACUCUCAACCACACCGUCAAAUCAUGACAGUACUAUUUAGUUGCAGACUCAUAGUUCUUUGAUUAUUACCACCCAUAAGCAAAUCUUCAGAUUCAAGAAUACCUUCAACAGUAAUUUCACCAUCUUGCCUGGCUCUCUCAUUCAUAAACCACAAACUUCAACUUCAGCCUAAAACCAUUACCAGUGGGGAAUCUGAUCUACUUAAGAAAUGCCUGCCCAGUGCUCCAAAUUACCAUAACAAACCUAGUAGGCACAAGCAUGGACAUUAGAACUAUAGCCCCAUCCCAACUCACAUUUCACCAGAAAUGAUAUUUGUUCCGAAAGAGUAACUAACUUGGAGACCAGAUGAUAUUAGGCCCUAGCCGCUGCAGCCCUCCUUCUUCCAUGAGCAAUGACCAAUCAUUAGAGAAUCCUCGGAGAGCACCACAACAAUGCCCUUCACCUUCUAUUGUCGUUUGUUGUUUAUUCAGGAUAAAUCUGUCCAAGCCUGCUGCAUGUGGUGAUUUUUCACAGCCACACUAAACUUUAGAUCCCAUUUCCAGGACCCUGUCAUUCAGUAGUAGGUAAGUUCAUCACCAGACCACAUCAAAUAGAAUCUCAGUGCCACAACAUGAUGUGAAAAGAUGAGAUCAUAUAGUUAAUUUGAAAUGAAAUCUCAUUUGUGGCAUUGAGACCUCAUGGAAAUUUCACUAUUUUUAAAUCUUAACUAGUGCUAUCAUAAAUCACCAGCUUAAUUUCCUCCCAUGUUAAAUUCAGGUAUAUAGUUAAACGUCAUCUACGUUCUGAUCUACUAAAACUAGGACAAUUUUUAUUGUUCAUUAUAUACUUAUUCUAUUUGCUUGUUUAUGAGAAAACAUAAAGAACAAAUCUUUGCAUUUUCCCUUCAAGAUAGACAUAUAAACGACUAUGGUAGAGUUUAUCACUGAACAGGAAAUAUACCAACAAACCAAGAACAGAAAGCUGGGUUCCAGUAUAAACAUAUGGAAUCAGAACAACAAAAUGCUUUGGAAUGAAGCACCUUUGAUGAAGUGCAGAAGCAGUAAUGCACUCCUCGAAAACAGUGGUUAUGACAGCGACCAAAAAAAACAAAGCUUGUCAUUUUUACAUAUAGACUCUGGUUAUAUACAAUAAUGAAGUAGCGCCGUGCAUUCCUUAAACUAUACACCAAUUACGAGGGACAAGGAACUACACAAAAAAAGAAGUUAUUUUGACAGUUGCGAAUUCUGAAUUUAGAAAUAGAAGUUAUUUCACAGUUGCGAAUUCUAUGUGUUAUUGAGUGUGGAUUAGAUGUUUUACUUACAGAAAUCCCACGGAAAUUCUAUUCUCAUAGUUCAAACCAUCAGACAUCCCCAGGUCACCAAUAUGAUCACCCAAAAGAAUAAUAUUUCUUCUUGUCUUGACUAACACAUUCUCAUAAGUUGGUCCGUCUGAAUCACCUAAUUGCUCAUGAAGUGGAGCAGCCAUAUCAAGAGCAUGCUCAUUUUUAUUCAGACUAUGUAUCGUCUUCCCUGUAAAUUACAUUAAACCCAAAUAAGAAUAUGCAAAUACAAUGCCUCAUUAUGAUGAAUGAAAUUAACAUAGAGAAGUAUUUUGCACCACAUGAAAAUAAAGAAAAGAAAAAGGCAAAUGAAGAAACACGCGGAAUUCGGUAAUGCAAAUAGGCACCAAACNNNNNNNNNNNNNNNNNNNNNNNNNNNNNNNNNNNNNNNNNNNNNNNNNNNNNNNNNNNNNNNNNNNNNNNNNNNNNNNNNNNNNNNNNNNNNNNNNNNNNNNNNNNNNNNNNNNNNNNNNNNNNNNNNNNNNNNNNNNNNNNNNNNNNNNNNNNNNNNNNNNNNNNNNNNNNNNNNNNNNNNNNNNNNNNNNNNNNNNNNNNNNNNNNNNAUGAAGUACCCGGUUGUUCAUUCAAUGGCAAAAGAACUCACCUGAGCAAAAAGUUUACUUCAUAGUAUAAGACUAUAAGGUUGCAUAUGUUUAUCAUAAUAGAAAAAAAAAAAAAAAAUUGUUUAAAAAGAAAUGAAACACAAAAGGAAAGCAGAGGCUGCAAUUUUGUACCAUUUUCCAAUGGCCUCAGAGCUAGUAGCAUAUAAGCCUCCUUACAAAUGGAGGGGUGUGUUUCAAGUCCUGGGUUUAGACCAGGCAUGGAAGGGAAUGCUUACCUUUUUGUCAGCCUUUCUAAUAAAGGAAAAUACAAAAGAAGAAGAACUUUUAAGGUCAAAAGCACAUGCAAAAGAUCCUAUGAUUGCUCACACAAAUUAUUUUAUUUUAUUUUAUCUUAUUAUCGUUCUUAUUAUUAUUUCACCAACUAGCUUCUGGGAUACAAAGAAUUAUGUUUCAAUAAUAAAUAGUGAAAAUUAUGAUCAGUGUGAGAAAGAUUCAUCAGUAUUGAUUAUUGAACACCUUUAAAAGAUACAAGGCGGCCGUUUUCAUCAAAGACCAUCCUGUUGGAGACGAUCUUCACAUUUUUGAAUAAUCUGUGAACUUUCUGCCUCAGGACCUAGAAUGAUGAGAAUAGAUACACAUAAGCAUACAAUAAUUUUUGUGACAAUACAAGAGAAAAAUGGCAAUAAAACUUAACUAACCUCCUCAAUGAUAUCCGCAAGUCCUGCAGAAAAUAUAAGAACGGGAAUGUCUCUUUUCUGCAAGUGGGAAAUAAUCAGUGUAUGGUAAAACCUAAUGAGUAAAGUUCUUUCAAAGUUCUCCUUGGUACCUACCGAUACAGAAAAAGAGAACAGAGAGAAAGAGGGAGGAAAUAAGAAGAAGUCUGUAGACACUGCAGCAAAUAAUAGAUGGCCAACAUAACCAAAUACACAAUAAAAAUAUGAAAGUCUUUGCGGGAUAAGAAAGGAAAAAGAGGGGUAUACACUCCCAUAAUUAUAUGUAAAAUGAAACUCACCUCUAAAAACUCAAAUAAUUCAACAACACCCUCCCUAAAAGAGAUUGCUGAAUCAGCAACAGAUUGCUUUAUCCCAUCAUACGUAACGCCUCCUUCAACCAAAAGAGAAUGAGUUUUUCCCCACCUGCGCCAAUGUAAUCAGUAUCUUUUUCUAUUGGGCAAUAACAAAAUCAGUAGUAUGUGAUUACAUUACAAUAAAAUCACUGCAUGGAAGUUAAGUGACAUAGAAGCAUAGAAGUGACAUAUGUCCGACAAACGAAAAUAGAGGUUGGGACUUGACUUGCCAUUCUUCCAUAAGCAGAGUUUUCUGCUGAAUUGGAAUAGUUGGGGAAAACUCUAACGGAUGAUAGUAUUCGUAUAACUGACGCCUCUUGUUAUCAUAUUCAGGAUUCUCCUGUUGCAAAAGACCAUGACUGCCUAGGCUUGUUAUCAAUCCAUGAACUACAUGGCAAAUUAAACAGAGAAGUGAAGCAAACAAACACAAGACAGAGAAAGCCUACUUUGUCCCCGACAGCCAUUGACCCUGUACUUGGUCAGUGUGGCAUCAAAAUCUGCUAUAACCUGUUGACAAUCACAUACAUACAAUUGUAACAAAAUGCAGAGGCAAUGAGUGAAGUGAAAACAUGGGGGAGGGAAUGAAACCUUAAGUUUGGGGGGACCCGCAUUCCGAAUAGCGGCAACUUUGGCAUCCAACAGGUGAGGGUCGGCCACCACCACCUCAACCUUAUGGGUUUCCAUAUGAAUGGUCCUGCAAACAAAGCAAGGCAUGCAGCUAUGACUAUAAGUAGACAAGGCCUGAGAGGAGAGGAGAGGAGAUACCUGCAAGUGAAGAAGCGGUGUGGGAAGAAGCAGCGAUUAGUGCGAAUGGUGGUGCCAACUACAAGCAAGAGGACUCGGUUAUUCAUUUCCCCUUCCGUCUCUGUUUCGGAUUAUGUCUUAUCUAUCGUGGCUAGUUUGGUUAUUAAAACCAGUUUGGGAUUUUUUAUUUUUAUUUUUUUUAAAGAAGAAAAAGAAAAUUACAAACUGGUGGUUGUCGAUAUUAAUUGUAUAUAUGACUCCGUUCUGAGAGUAAUAGACAAUACACCAACUUUGAUUUUCUGGAUAUAUUCGAUAUUAAUUUUUAAUUGAUAGAUUGAAUUUGAAUAAAUCAGUUAAUCGAUCAUCAAAUUUUAGAAUAUUAAUUAAUGUUUACGUCUUCUCAAUAGAAUAAUCAAACUCAAAUCUAGUUCAUUGUCUUUUUGAUUUGUUGAGUAUCUUAAAAGGAAAAAACCGGUUUCCUCAAACAAGGGCAUAUAGCUAGUAAUUAAUUAUAUGUUUCGUUGGUUAAGGUGCUUAACUGAUAACUUUGAGAUCAUCAGUUCAAAUCUCACGACAUAUGUAGGUGNNNNNNNNNNNNNNNNNNNNNNNNNNNNNNNNNNNNNNNNNNNNNNNNNNNNNNNNNNNNNNNNNNNCUCGUCUUAUUGUAAAUACUCAUCUCUCUCUCUCUCUCUAUCUCUCUCUCGUCCCAACUGGUAUCUCAAGUUCUUUAUCAUCAAGGUCCUCUUCUCCCAGUCUCCCACAUACCCAUAAUAAGUGAUGAAGCUGCAAUUUCAAAUUUUCAGUUCCAAUCGCCCUCACCCAACCCUCUCCUUCUCCAAAUCCCUAACCUCCACUCUCUUCCUCCUCCCUCAAACCCUCCCUUGAACCUUCCCCGGCGGCGUCUCGAAGUGGCAGUGCAAGCAUGCAGGCCAAGAAUGUCAAGCGUCCCUAGCUAAAAGCCGCCGUCGAUGUUGAUAGAAACAGAGAGGACAUGGUAAUGUGGUGCGCGAUGGCGAAAAAGAAGAAAUGGUGGUUUGGAGUUUGAAGGGAGUGAUAGGAGGUAUAAUUCGAGAGAAGGUAGAUAGGGAUUAGGGCAGAAUUUCGCUUCACCCCAACGGUACGACGAGCUGAGGUCGUUGGAAGCAAAAUAAGAAUAGCUAGCUGCGAAUAGAUUAAAAUUUCGAUAACCUGGCCUGGGUGUAUAGAUGAGAAUAGACGUUAAGUAUCGACGACAUUUUCGGACGAGUGAGAUCUAAAAAUGUCAAAAAUAAAAGUAAGAGACAUCUUGAACGGUCAAGAUUGUGUUAUGAGGCAAUAUGCCAAGCAAAGUUGGUCUGAGGUUGAGGUAAUAAGAAUGAACUCCCAGUAUAUGUAAUCUACGAAUUUCGAUUGUACAUAUUUUAUGUUUACAACUGGAUGAACUCAUUGUGGAAUCACCAAUCUGGGAAUCUUCAGCUGACUUGUCUCAUUGAUUACCGAUGCUUUCUACAGUUGAGUUGUCUCAAGUAUCCUUCUUCCUCCAUAUGAUCGAUGAUGUGCUCGAAUUGCUCAUGAACUGGCGUCUCCGGGUUGGGGAUGAUUCAUCACUUCCUAAACAUAAAAAACAGAAAUUAUUCUUUGAAGAACAUGACAAUAUCUCUCACAUUAGAUUAUAAUAUGAUGUUUAACGCUGAUUGAGAGAAUCAUCUAUGCAGUUACUUCAAGUGUACGUAACUAGGGAACUCACUGGCUUUGUGGAAACUGAGCACAUCUGUAUUGAGAAUGCUCCUCCACCCUUUUCGCCAAGUUCUCUCAAUCUGUUAAGCUCAGGUAGCACAACCUUCCCUAGAUCGGGUCUGUCUUUUCUCCCCAUUUGAGCACAUUGUAAUGCUAACUUGGCAAACUUCAACGCUUCCUCGACGGGCCAGUCAGGAACAGCGGGGUCAAGCAUCUCAGCGAAGGUCCCUAUCUCAAUGGCAUGCUCAACAAGAUGAGUCAAACCCAUUGCUUGUUUGGCUGUUAUUAUUUGUAGAAGCAUGACCCCAAGUGAGUAGAUAUCAGAUUUUGUUCCAAGCAAGCCAGUUUGUUGAUACUCUGGGUCGAUAUAACAGAAUGUCCCAGCAGCUGAUGUCAUGUGAUACUGAGUGACUGAGUCAGCUACUGAUGGAGGGACAAGCCUUGACAGACCUACAUCACUAAUCUUGCUGACAAAGUUAUGGUUUAGCAAAAUGUUUCCUGGCUUUAAGUCACGGUGUACCAAGGGUUCUGGCUUGGCUUGGUGAAGGAACAAAAGCCCCGUGGCAAUUUCUGCGGCUAUUCGGAACCUUUGCUGCCAUAACUGGUGUGUUACCUCGUCGAAACAGACGGUCUUCUAAGCUCCCAUUAGCCAUGUACUCAUAGAUCAGACAACCAUACUCUGGGCAGGCUCCGAGCAAGAGAACCAUGUUUGGAUGUCUAAUGCAGCUCAAAACUUCAAUCUGCAUACAAGAACCAUCAGUCAAUAAUUCAUGCUCGUAGCUUUUGACAUUUUCUUCCUUUAAUCUAUUAGUUGCUUUUGUUUAAACACACAUGUUCCCUCUCUUGGUAACAAUGUGCAAGUUCACUCUUAAAUCAAAUCACUCAUGGAUCUAAUUCAAAUACUUCACCUCGGUUAUGUUUCUUUUCUGUCCAAUAUCUGAAAGUGAAAAAGUUUUAGAGAUAGUAGUUAGAGUUUUGUUCAUGUGAAAAUUGACUAACCUCUUGUUGGAACUGUGACCGUCCUUGAGCUGCAUCAGGACGUAGAGCUUUUAUUGCCACUUGUGUGUGAUCCAGCUCACCUACAUACACAGGCCCAUAUCCACCUUCUCCAAUCUUGAGAGCUUUUGAAAAAUUGUCUGUUGNNNNNNNNNNNNNNNNNNNNCUCUUUUCAGCUUCUUUGAGACCCUUUAUUUCUGCAUUCCUCCUUUGCUCUGCUCUGCUUCCAGUUCAGCAAUCCUUUUAGCUGCUCUUUCUGCCUCCAUGGCUGCUCUACAUUUUGCUUCCUCCUUCUGUACAAAUUCCAAUGCAGUCUCCUGACCUAGGCGUGCACUUUCCAGUUUGUUCUUCUUCCCAUUUCCAUCGGUCAAGUUGCUUUAGGUAUAUACAAAUUAAAAAUCCAUUAUAAUUUACACUGAAUAUCGGAAACAUAUUUUUUUGUUUUUUUACUGCAUGAGUAAAAUAAAAUAAGAAAACCAAAAAUAUAUAAAAUAAAAAUAUGUCAUAACAACAUGCAUGAUGGUAGAAUUACAAAGGUGAUAUAACCUCUAGAUUGCUGGUUACGCAUGGACUGAGAAACAUUUGAGUCUGAAACGUUGCCGACUUGGUUAUGUAUUUGCUUAUUACGAGCUUCUGGGGGUAAUUUAGAGGUUGCUGUUUACACAUGACUAACAUUUCCCUUGCCAAUGACAUACACAGUGCAGAAAUCCAGUGCCCCUUUCGAUAUGCUGCUUGGAAUGUCUGUAGUUUUGUUAAAUUUCGAGAAAGGAGAAAUGUAAUUAGUAGCCAUGCAUUGUAAUUGAGUUUUGUCCAACUUCUAGAAGUAUAAGUCCAAUUAAAAGUCAAAUUCAUGAUAAUAAUGCUUUAUCUAGUUGCAAUUAACCAAAUAGAGUAAUUCUAAUUAACAGAAAGGCCAAAUGACAUAAAGAUGAGAAAGUUUCAGCAAAUUUAUAUAAUCCACCUGAAAAAGUCACUUUUUGAAGGUGCCGCAAGUACCAAAACCUCAAUUAAAUGUGUCGAAAUAAAAUUGAUGAAUGUUUUUGCUACAUUAGUACCUUCAACUAUUAUUUCAUUGUAUCUUACGUGUUGUAAGUUUAAACUUAGUUAGAAAAGAGAGUUUGCUGUUUGACAAAAAGUACAUACAAUUUAAUCAUAUUAGUUACCCACACUUUUUUCUUACAGAAAGUACGAAGUGGAAGAAACAACUCCCUAUAUUCAGCGUCAAAUAGGCUUUUGCACAAUUUUAAACCUUACUCAUUUACUUCAGAGCUAGAAACUAAUUUCACCGCUGCACCAAAAAGUGAAAAACAUGGGGAAAUUGAGGAUUUGGAAAACUAGACAAAUAUUAACAUUCUAGAGCAAGCAGACAACAUUGAUAUUAACAUUCCAGAGCAAACAGGCAACAUUGAUAGGCACAUUCACCGACUAGGUGCAUAUUUCCAGCAUCCCCUUAGGGCGGGCGGCAAGUUCCGGAAGACACCCUUUCGGAGAAAAACCCAUACGACGCCGUACGAUCGGCCAACGUCCACCACUGCCAACGGCGGCUGGAUCUCCAAGCUCGUCGAUCCCGCUCAGAAGCUUCUCACCUACAGCGCCCACCGCCUCUUCUCCACCGUCUUCCACAAACGCCUCCCUCCGCCUUCCUCAGGUUCGUCUCUCUUUCUCUCUCUCUCUCUCGUGUGCGUUUCAAUUUAGCCAAUGUUGCUUGAAAUUCUUUAUAUGAAUUUGAAAUUCGAAUCAAGACUUGGGAUUCUGGAAUUCUUAAUUGAAAUGCCUGAUAAUUAAUUGCAUUUAAUGAUGAAGCAAGGAUUUUUCGUUUAAUUUAGUCUCCUGUUUCUUUACCAGAGGCGAAUCAUGAAGCAAGGGUUAUGGACAAGGGAGAAGUUGACAUUGUAAGUAUGAAUGUAUUUAUUAUUUAUUUCUAUUGCUUCAUGUNNNNNNNNNNNNNNNNNNNNCUACAUCACUAAUCUUGCUGACAAAGUUAUGGUUUAGCAAAAUGUUUCCUGGCUUUAAGUCACGGUGUACCAAGGGUUCUGGCUUGGCUUGGUGAAGGAACAAAAGCCCCGUGGCAAUUUCUGCGGCUAUUUGGAACCUUUGCUGCCAAGGAAUAACUGGUGUGGUACCUCGUCGAAACAGACGGUCUUCUAAGCUCCCAUUAGCCAUGUACUCAUAGAUCAGACAACCAUACUCUGGGCAGGCUCCAAGCAAGAGAACCAUGUUUGGAUGUCUAAUGCAGCUCAAAACUUCAAUCUGCAUACAAGAACCAUCAGUCAAUAAUUCAUGCUCGUAGCUUUUGACAUUUUCUUCCUUUAAUCUAUUAGUUGCUUUUGUUUAAACACACAUGUUCCCUCUCUUGGUAACAAUGUGCAAGUUCACUCUUAAAUCAAAUCACUCAUGGAUCUAAUUCAAAUACUUCACCUCGGUUAUGUUUCUUUUCUGUCCAAUAUCUGAAAGUGAAAAAGUUUUUAGAGAUAGUAGUUAGAGUUUUGUUCAUGUGAAAAUUGACUAACCUCUUGUUUGGAACUGUGACCGUCCUUUGAGCUGCAUCAGGACGUAGAGCUUUUAUUGCCACUUGUGUGUGAUCCAGCUCACCUACAUACACAGGCCCAUAUCCACCUUCUCCAAUCUUGAGAGCUUUUGAAAAAUUGUCUGUUGCUGCCUCAAUCUCUUGAAUCGAGUAUUUCCUGUACCGUGGAUCAUAACUCCUUCCUCCUAGUGAGUUCGUCCUCUUUUCAGCUUCUUUGAGACCCUUUAUUUCUGCAUUCCUCCUUUGCUCUGCUUCCAGUUCAGCAAUCCUUUUAGCUGCUCUUUCUGCCUCCAUGGCUGCUCUACAUUUUGCUUCCUCCUUCUGUACAAAUUCCAAUGCAGUCUCCUGACCUAGGCGUGCACUUUCCAGUCUUUGUUCUUCUUCCCAUUUCCAUCGGUCAAGUUGCUUUAGGUAUAUACAAAUUAAAAAUCCAUUAUAAUUUACACUGAAUAUCGGAAACAUAUUUUUUUGUUUUUAUUUUUUAUUUUUACUCAUGAACUUACAAGUGCGCAAUCAAUGCCUUCUGGUUGUGUGUGUGUGUUUGUGUGUCUGCAAGGAGAAGAGGCUGGUUCACAUUACCUGCUGUUUUGAUGUUAGGGUGUCCUUACUGGCCGUAUUGUACAUUUCCAUUGUUUGCUUGAGCUCUAGUAUGAUUCUCAUCAUCUCAUCUUCUACUUCUUCCUAUAGUAAUUGGCAAUAAAAAUUAAAUUAGGAUUCUGAAAUAUUUCUACAUUCAUGCAUCCAAUUGAUUGAUUGCAGUGAUUGCAGUGCACUACUAGUGCAGUAAUCACUCAAAAGUCAAACAAAAACAUUUUUCCACUUUUUAAAUUGGCUUUUGACUCAACUAGAGUUUAUGCUCAUUAAUAUUUGUCUUACCAUAUUCCGGGAUGACCAUGAUUUUCCACUCUGAGUUGAUGAUAAUGAGUUAAUAUCAAUGAACUGGGUUCUUGAGUAGGACUGUGUAGAGGUAUAGCUUCCUCCGCUACUCGUGAAUGAUACAUUGCUGCCUGGUGUCACUUCAUAUAAUUCGUUUGUUGAAGCUUGUCCUCUGGUGAAUGGUGACCUAGAAGAAAAUAUUUACAUUUCUGUGCGGUCAGUCCUUCUGAUUAAUUGUUUUACAAUUGCCAUAACUUUAUAUAUAUUUCAAAUAAUCAGAGCUCACUUGAUUCCAGUGUCAUCAUCUAUCCGAGAAUUAUGGUGUCGGUACUGUGUUCUUGUCCUCUCUGAUGCUGUAUCAAUCAAAAGAACAUGAAAUAGUGAGAAAGUAAAAGUAAAAUAAGAAAACCAAAAAUAUAUAAAAUAAAAAUACGUCAUAACAACAUGCAUGAUGGUAGAAUUACAAAGGUGAUAUAACCUCUGGAUUGCUGGUUACGCAUGGACUGAGAAACAUUUGAGUCUGAAACGUUGCUGACUUGGUUAUGUAUUUGCUUAUUACGAGCUUCUGGGGGUAAUUUAGAGGUUGCUGUUUGCACAUGACUGACCUUUCCCUUGCCAAUGACAUACACAGUGCAGAAAUCCGGUGCCCCUUUCGAUACGCUGCUUGGAAUGUCUGUAGUUUUGUUAAAUGCUCUUUUGCAUUCGAGAAAGGAGAAAUGUAAUCAGUGCAUGCAUUGUAAUUGAGUUUUGUCCAAGUUCUACAAGUAUAAGUCCAAUUAAAAGUCAAAUUCAUGAUAAUCAUGCUUUAUCUAGUUGCAAUUAACCAAAUGGAGUAAUUCUAAUUAACAGAAAGGGCCAAAUGACAUAAAGAUGAGAAAGUUUCAGCAAAUUUAUAUAAUCCACCUGAAAAAGCCACUUUUUGAAGGUGCCGCAAGUACCAAAACCUCAAUUAAAUGUGUCGAAAUAAAAUUGAUGAGUGCUUUUGCUACAUCAAUACCUUCAACUAUUACUUCGUUGUAUCUUACCUGUUGUGAGUUUAAACUUGGUUAGGGAAGAGAGUUUGCUGUUUGACAAAAAGUACAUACAAUUUAAUCAUAUUAGUUACGCACACUCACAAGUUUUUUCUUACAGAAAGUACGAAGUGGAAGAAACAACUCCCUAUAUUCAGCGUCAAAUUGGCUUUUGCACAAUUUUAAACCUUCCUCAUUUACUUCAGAGCUAGAAACUAAUUUCACCGCUGCACCAAAAAGUGAAAAGCAGGGGAAAAUUGAGGAUUUGGAAUACUAGACAAAUAUUAACAUUCUAGAGCAAGCAGACAACAUUGAUAUUAACAUUCUAGAGCAAACAGGCAACAUUGAUAGGCACAUUCACCGACUAGGUGCAUAUUUCCAGCAUAGGAAUAUGCAAUUGUGAGGUCUACACCAUUGAUCGAAUAUGCCUAUAUGCAAAUACAUGGACUGUUAGGAAUACUUAUUACAACGUUAAGCUAUUUGUACUUUGGUGAUUGACUCUCAUCUUGCUACCAGAAAUGGUGGACAACUAUCAUUCUAUCAACAUAUGCCUUCAUACACAGGAUAGAACUGCAUGUUGAAUAUUAAUAACAUCAUCAACUUGCAUGAGAGAGAGAGAGAGAGACGAGAUAUUUACGUACUUUGAAUAGGAAGGCCUGGUGUUGAUUGUUUAACAUGCACAAGGGUGAGACUUUGGCCCUUGGCGAGAAAAUGCUCAACAGUCCAUUUGAGAGCAUAUUGACUUCCCUUGUCCUUGUCUAUUGCCACCGCCACCGCCUCUUCUCUCUUCUCAUCACCUGCGGCCCAUGAUCUUGCCAUCUCUCUCUCUCUCUCUGAACAGUGACUGAAUUGAGAAACUCUCAGAACCAAAAAAAAAANNNNNNNNNNNNNNNNNNNNCAAACCAAAAAUAAAAAUAAAAAAAAAGUACCUCCUCUUCAACAGUUGGACAUAAUAUCUUCCUCACACUAACGUCUCCACAUUCAACAACUCAUUGACUUCCACACCCAUCACAUGUAAACCAAUUUACAUUGUUAUGCAUAUUUCUGUAACAGCAACUGGGAUCAGUUAUGUUUUAAAUCUAUUUUUGUUAGGAUUGUGGAUCUCUAGUAGGUUAUGUCAGCCAACAAUCCAACCAAUAAAACACCAAGCCGAGUUUUCAAGACACUUUCUCCCUCCUCGGGUUUAAGAUCAGCUAGUGAAUAACUAAAUUUAGGAGUGGGAUACAGAUCAUUAUUUUGUAACUUUCGCCUAACUUUAAGAUUCAGAGUUCAUAUUUGAUGGAACUAUUGGAGAUGCUUUUACUAUAUAUGAGCAAUCUCCACAUUCCCUACAACAUAUUCUGUUAUUUCAUAUUUCAUUUGCUGAAACAGAAAGAAUGAUCAAUUUAUUUAUUUCAAAUUUUACAUAGCGAAUCUGGGACGAGCCCAAGAACUUCGUAAAAAUAAUUGAAAGAAUAUAUAGUAUAUUAACAUACAAAUAUAACCAAAAACUUGUAAUCAAAAGAAUCAAAUGGUGAAGAUACACAGAGAAGGAACUGAUACAACAACAAUUACAGUAAGAACCUGGUUUCAAGUUCAGCAACAAUAGGGGCAUAUAAUCAACCCAUUUUCAUUGCACUGCGGGCACACAUUAGACUCUCCCUUGUCGGCAAUGAGCUUGUGACUUCCAUUGCACUUGAAACAAACCACAAACCGAACUCCAGCGCAACCUUGACAUGAUCCUUGUGAUAGAUCCAACGGCACUCCAGCAAGGAGCGGCCGCAGCUUUCCUUGCUCAUGAAGCGCCAGAACCUCCUCUGCUCCCCCAAUGUAUCUCCCCUUUAUGAAAAGCUUAGGAGGAACCGAGUUGCAACCCAAAAUGCUGCAAAGCUCUUGUCUGAACUCCAUGUGCAUUGACACAUCACGCUCGAAAUACACAACCCGAAAGCUCUCUAACAGAAAGCGGAUGCUGUUGCAAUCGUCGAACGUCUUGCGUAUCCCUCGAAGGCUUGUGGUGUAGAGAAUUACUUAGUCGAAGCUCCCAGGUGGACGUUUCUCUUGGAAGCCCAAGAGAGGGUCUUCACUCAAUCUCAUAUACUCAAUCACCGCUUGCCGAAAGGCGGCCAGUAGGCCCGGGUCGAAGAGGGUACCGGAAUCUAAGUCGGGUCGCCGGAAAGACGAGAUGUCAAUCUCCGAUAAAGGUAACACUAAUGCUUCUGAUUCUGAAUCUGGGGAAGUAGCUUUACUCUGUUUCAAAGUAGACUCCACNNNNNNNNNNNNNNNNNNNNAGGGUUCAACCAAAUGUUUGAGAUUUCAGACUGUAUCAACUCAUAAUGGCUUCUUUGUAACUUUUCUGUUAAGGAUCCUCCUGGAGUGCAAAAAUGGUGCCAUUGAGCAAAGUACUGGUCCCAGAGCUACUUCUGCUGGAGACGGGGGGUUUACCUUACUUGAGCAAAUUUUGGAGCAGAAAACCUUUACCAGGCAAGUCGUAUAUAUUAAUCACAAUGUUUUUUCUUCUCUUCUGGGACUUUGAAAUUGCUUAGAUAUUCUAAUUGCAGCCUUCCAUGACAACAUUGUGUUUCUUAUGCUAUCCUCUCUGUGCUUAUUAAGCUGUACGUGUUUUUUCAUUGAAAACAACAAGAGGAUUACUAGAUUGCUUGAUGGUCUCUGACCCUUUUUAGGUGAAAGAGUAAGGACCUCCUUGAUGAAUACCAGUGGAAGACCACUAUGGUUUGUCCAAGGCUGAGUGAAGCUAGUAGGUUUUAUUGCUUUAAUAGCUUGAUUAUUUUUCGUAAAUCCUUGAUAUUUUAUAUAUUUUAAAUGACCUAAAUGGAAUGGGUUGAAACCCUUGGGGAAAUCUUAUUAUGCAGGUUUAGCCCUAUCUGUCACACAUCAUUCCUUGUUUAUUUGUAGUUUGUGGAAGCAUAGUGAUGUCUUUGCUUGUUGUUUUACUUUCGAUAUGACUGUUUCCUCCAAAUAUAUUUUCAUUCCCUGCAAUGCUUUAAUUACACGCAUAGUUUGGAAUUUGAACUUCUUGGGAUUGGUUAUUAUUAGAGCUUAACCUGCUUGAGGUAUCCAAUAAAAGGAACAAAUAGAAGAUUCUGCUGUAAUCGCAUCUGUGCCACUUCUGCUUUUCAUAACUUGCCUUUUUUAUUGUACAUGUUUGUCAUGGUGUUGAGUUUCAUGUAUGUUAAUUCCCUGCAGAUCUGAAAUUGAUCGAUUGAAAGAGCUCUUGCAUUCAAGGACUGAUGAUGUACCUACUGAGAAUCUAGAGAAAAGAUCUGAAGUAAUACCUUCAAUGGAAAUGGUAUCUCAUGACAGGAAGGAGGAAUACGCUAAAACCCCAUUGCAAGAUAAAAGUGCCAAUAGCCGCCUCGUUUCAACCCCUGUUGUCAGUACAACUGUAUGAUACCCUUUUCUGAGUUGACUAUAAUUAUGGCUUAUUUAUUUUCACAGCUGUGGUGUUUACACUUGGUACUCUUUAAACCAAAUAAAAACUGUUAUAAUUCUUUAUUACAGUUGCACUUGGCUCUUUUUUUUUUUUAACAUUGUUGUAAAUAAUGUCUUCAGGUCCCUGAUGAUGAUGCAGCUUCACCUGUUGAGCUGGCAAAAGCUUACAUGGACAAUAGGUCUUCAAAAGUAUCCCCAUCAUUGCUGGGUCUACGUAGUCGAGCUGUCUAUGAAGAUUCACAUAACAGUGUGGCAUUUCCUUCCAAAUUAUCACUAAUGUCAGUCGUUCCUCGAUUUUCUAGCACUGGGGCGGCACCAGAGAAUGGUUUUGCAACCCCUAGAUCUCAAGGCAGAUCUGCAAUACACAGUAUGGCUCGUACGCCAUACUCUCGAGUUCAAACCCAUAAUACAUUUAGGGUUAGUUUUAUAAAGAAUUUUGUUAGCUUUGGUGUCAAUGUUAUCUGGGAUUCAGGCUCUUAUAGUUGUCCCUUGUAUUUCAGGGUGUCGGGUCUACAGUUGAUACUUACGGUGCACCAUCCUCAUCAACUCGGUCUAAAUGGGAGCAAAGCCAACCCUCUGGAUCCAAACAAGGGGUAUAACACAGUUUUUGAAAUGAAUCUACAUCUCACUAGAUAUUUUUUUGCUAUAUGUAUAGCCCUUAGGGUUGAAACCAGCUUUGAAGGUUGGUACUCUCUCUUUCUUAGGGGUUGAAGAACCAGUUAUGUGUUGCCUUGUCUCGAAAAAAAAUAAUAAAUGGUGCUCCCUCUUUUCUUGGGGUUGAAGCACCAGCUUAGAAAAUUGGUGCUCCCUCUCUCUUAGGGGUUGAAGAACCAGUUAUAUGUUGCCUUGUCUCGAAAAUUAUAUAAAAAAAUGGUGCUCCCUCUUUUCCUGGGGUUCAAGUACCAGCUUUGAAGAUUGGUGCUCCCUCUUUUUUUGGGUUGAAGAACCAGUUAUAUGUUGCCUUGUCUCGAAAAAAAACAAAAAUAGUGCUCCCUCUUUUCCUAGGGUUGAAGUACCAAUUUUGAAGAUUGGUGCUCCCUCUUUUUUAUGGGUUGAAGUACCAGUUUUGAAGGUCUUCAUUGAAGAUCAGUGCUUCCUCAGCUAGACAUCGUUGAAGUGUUGUGUUUUUGGCUCGUUGAUAAGUUAGGAUUUAGUAGUCAAAUCCAAGUCUAGAACAGAAAGAGGACAGUGCUGUAGCUUUUCUAUAAGUUCUAGGAAAGUUAGUCUUUCAAGGUUCUAUUAGGAUUUGUAAUAGACUUAUGUCUAUUAGGUUUAGGAGUGUUAAACCGUGUUGUAUCUGCAGCCCCUAUUUUCUAUAAAAUAGGAGCUGCAGGGGGGUUUCUAAGGGUAAGACACCGUAGAAAACCGAGGGCUCUAAGGGUGAUAGAGAGAUCUAGCAAGGGAGUUGGGGAUUAGCAUAAGGAUUUCAAUAAGUACUUGUAAUCAGGAUGUCAUUCUCCAUAGUGCUAGUGAAUCUCUCAAGAGAGAUCACAAAGUGGACGUAGGCCAGGGUUUUGUCUGAACCACUAUAAAGUUGCUGUGUGCUGUGUUUCUGUCUUCAAGUUCAUCUUUUUAGCUUUAGCUUUGCUUAAGUCGUAAAGUACCAGUAAAGAUCCUAAGGGGGGUUUCUAAGGGUAAGACACCGUAGAAAACCGAGGGCUCUAAGGGUGAUAGAGAGAUCUAGCAAGGGAGUUGGGGAUUAGCAUAAGGAUUUCAAUAAGUACUUGUAAUCAGGAUGUCAUUCUCCAUAGUGCUAGUGAAUCUCUCAAGAGAGAUCACAAAGUGGACGUAGGCUAGGGUUUUGUCUGAACCACUAUAAAGUUGCUGUGUGCUGUGUUUCUGUCUUCAAGUUCAUCUUUUUAGCUUUAGUUUUGCUGAAGUCGUAAAGUACUAGUAAAGAUCCUAGGGCGCUGACCACUAUAUGAAGGCCUUCAUUAUGGACAUACAAUUGAAGGGUAUAAUGUAGAGGUAAAGAAAAAUCAGCUUCUGAGCUCAAGAUGUUUGUUGAUAUAGUGUCUUCUUAAUACAACAAAGAGAAUGCCACUCUUUGUUGUACUUUAUACCAGAAAAGAUGGUCUGUUAAGCUCUAGAAUUGGAAUUUUGUUGUGAGUUUUACAUUUAGAAGAAAAUUACUGGUUUAUUGCUUGCUUGAUAGCAGAAAAGAUGGCGACGCCUCUCUUCUCUGUUAAGAUUUAGAAUUGGGUUUCUGUGGUUUUAAGAUAAGGUUCUGGUUUUUCCUUUGCAUAAAUAACAAACCUUGUAUUUCUAGUUUGGAUAAAUCUCUAAGAUAGAUAUGGCUGCCUCGUUUUCGUCUUAAUUCUUUUCUUGUUUAUGACUCAUUGCUUAUUGAGCUGGGGUGCUCAUCUUAUAUCAUUUUCUUAUUUUUUUGUGUUACCUUAAUAUUAUCCUGCAUUAUAUUCUGUUGUUUUAGUACAUGCUUGCUAGAUUAGUGUGAUUUCUCUUCUCUCAAAUCAUCAAUGGAUAUAUUUGGUGUUUAUGUUCACCCUACACUUUCUGUAGGUGUAUUGAAAUGUGAUGAAUGUUUGGUUCAUGGAAGGAACUGGGCAUUGACGUAACCUUUUGAGCUGUUACUGUAUAAAGUAUAAAUAAUUUAGCUAGUCUGUCUAUGAUAUGUUACCCAGCAAGUUCAUUAAGGAAUUUGCUGCGUAUUGUGUUAAUUUCCUGAACACUAAUAAAGCUUCCUCUACAUCUGAGAUUAUAGGAUACAUCCUUUGACCAUACGGUCUUGUGUCAAAUGACUGUUAUCUGGACCUUUGAUUGUAUGGAAGGGUAUCAGUUGUCCCAACUUAGUCGUGUAGCAGUAAGACUGAAUCAAAAUGCUAGAAUUGCAUUUCCUUUUAGGUUUCGAAACUCAAAGGUUUAUGAAUCAGUGUCUUCUUAGAUUGUUUUGGGCAAUAUCAGGUUUACAAGGAUAUGCCAUGUUAUGAUGGCUGUGUUGUGGCUAAAGAUAAAUAUAUAUAGGUACAUACAUAACUCGGUAUCAAAUUUAAUUGUUGUUAAGUAGUUGCUGCCGGUACUUUAGCUACUGUAAAAUCUGUUAGUGUGUGUCUGUUGACCUGACAUUGGGAUUUUCCGACUCAAUUUGGACAAUGUGUCUAGUCUCUUUGUUUAUAUUUAUCUGGUCAUGCACUACAUCUACAUUUAUGUAUCCUACAGUUGUGAAAUUUUAUGUUAGUUAGGACUAGUAUGAAUCAAUGAGUCAUAAUGUUGUAACUCUAGAAGCUUCCUUUUGCUUUGAUUUCCUUCCUUUCUUUGUUGUUUGUUUGGUUGCUUUGGUCUCGGGCAAGUUGCACAUGUCAAAUGACUUUACAACCGCUUGUGUUUAUGGUUUUUCUGUUGUAUAGCUGGACCUUAUACGUGGUUGUUGUGAAUCUAUUAUUGGCCGUGCUUGAUUAAUAUAUAGUCGGAUCAAGAUACCUGUUUUGGCUAGAGUGCUAUGUGAUGGCACUGAGGUCAGUUUCCGCUUCAAUUUAUGUAAUCUGUUGGUUUCGCAUUCGGGAAAGUUUCGAGUUGAUUUUAGUAAUUUACAGCUUUAGUUUUAAGCUUAGGCAGAUUUUAUGGCUUUAUGAAUGCACUUGUGAUCAAUCUUUCAUAAAUCAUAAUGAAGUUCAUGAUUUCAUGUGUUAUUGUAGGACUUUUGAAAGUGUUAGGCUUAGAUGAAAGGUUUAUAUAGGGGUUUCAUGGUGGUGGCCAAUACACAGGCAAGUGAAAGUGGUGGUGUUAUCAUCUAUCACAGCCUUUGUAAUCUAUCACACCCAACCACUACUAGGAAUCUAAACUAAUUAUAAGAAUAAAGUCUCAACUAAUUCUGAUAUUAGUUUUAUUGGGAAGGGUUAAUUGUACAGGUAUUUGUCAGGAGAAUAUUGUGUAAAGUCUGUGUGUGCUUGCAGUGCAAGCCAUUGUCCUUUUGAAGGGAAAGUUGUGUGGGGAGAGUUUAAUAUGGAGGAUACUAUUUCUAAUGCGGCUUGAAAUUGUAUUGAUAUGAUCUUCGGCUGAAAACAGUUUUUUGCUACAAGUCAAAAAGGUGCCUUCCCAUGUUGUGGAAGGUAUGAUUUCUGAAAAUAAAUGGGAUCAGUCCCUACCUAUUCUACAACUUCAAAUGUUUAGUGUUAUGUUGGAAUGUGCGUGGUUCUGGGGGAAAUUUUGUUCCUCUAUAUGAGUUUGAUGUUUUAAUUGUAUCUGAACCUAGAGUUCCUUUCUCUAGAGCAAAAAAUUUUCGUCAAAAACAUGGCUUCUCUGAUGCUGCAAGUGUCUGAUGUUAGAGGUUUGCUAAUAGGAUCAGAAUCAUAGAAUGGUAGUAUGUUUGCUAAUAGGAUUGCUAAUAGGAUCAGAAUCAUCAGACACUAGAAACUCUCAUUUUAAUGGUAGUAUGUUUCAUCUUCUUCAUCAUCAGAUAUCUCAACCUCUGAAGAUACCUUGAGCAAUUCAGUUAAAUAACAUAAUUUCAAAAAUUGGUUUGGAGUAGUGAAAAUGGCAGCAAGAAUUUCCAAAUUUCUUCGACAAUUUAGGUUGGUGUAGUAUGUUGGAGUUACUGCCUCUCCAUGUUGAGAUUGAUUGAUGCAUGUUUUGGGGACACUGUUGAGAUUGUUGCAUUGUAAUCCUACUUACUGAAAUAAGGGAGUUCAAAGUUGUUGACACUAAUUUGAUUGGUACCUACUGAGCUACUGUGCUGGUUUUGGUUGGGGAUAUUCUGUUGCAUUAAUAGUUGUAAGACUAGCGGCCUUACUUUAUUGUUUAGUAACACCCAAGCUAGAAGAAUCAUAUGUGAAAGACAUUAUUUGUUUGGUCUCCUGGAGUCUGCCAAUUGAGUACUGAGUGGAUAACGAUCUACUCUCACAUGUCAUAAGCAUAACCCCGGAAAGGUCAGUUCUAUCUUCGUAUGAUGCCAACUAUCUACUUAUCUGGCUUUUGUCUUCUGAAAUUUCAGGAGGUUGCUACUAUCACUAUGGCUUAAAACUAAAUAAUACGCAUGUUAAACCCUCCUCCUUGAAACAUUGUAUGUGUUCGUAGGCACAUGUUGAUUGGAUGGUAGUAUGUUCUUGAAGAACUAUCUUGAACUCAAGAAAUAUGUUACUUGCAGAAUGGUCAAAAUUUUAAUUGCUCGUCCUUUGUCUACCCUUAUAACUGGCAUCAUAAAUUUCCCCUUGUCUUACUUAUUUGGCUAUAAUAAGUAUCUGCUGAGGUAAUCAGAACAUGAUUUUAUGAUCGACGGGAUUUUGCAUAGCUAAUAUUGCAAGAUUCUUAUCAUCACCUCAGUUCUGUUAUUUUGUAUACUGCAUCCUAUGCCAGGUCCAUGAAAGCUUUCAAACAUGUUUGGAAAGUCAUUUUGCGUCUUCUCAUCCUAAUGCUCUUCUCAUCUAAUUUGGUGUGUUCGGAAAGUUCAUUGUGUAGAUACUGUUACUAUUGUCGUUGUCUUUAAGUAAAUGCUUCACAUAUUGAAUGCUCCAUGAAGCAUUUUGUUCUCAGGCACAAUGCUGAUAGGAUUCUAGUAUCUUCAUGACGUUGAAGAACAAACUUCAAAUAAGAAAAUGUCAACUUUAUUUUUAAGGGAUCAAUUGCUUUUUUGGUCCCUCAAAAGGAAAGUGAACUACUCUCUUGGUGGAUCAAUUCUCUUUCUGUUUCGUAGCUGAAACCCUUCUCGGAUUCUUCAUUCUGUUUCGUAGCUUCCACGAAUCCCUAUACUUUUUUAGUUUUUUCUUUUUGCUGAUCUAUCUCCACAUGCCACUGUGCAUACAGCUAACUAUCAUACCAGUUUCCGGGCUUCAACUUCAUCUCUUACAGGACAUAAAUGACCAUUUUGGUAGUUUCAAUAGCAUUUAGCAGCACGAAAAGCACUUUUCUAUCUUCAAAUAAAUUACUUCCUGCUGUUUAUUGGUAGGACGAUAAACAGGACUUCGAACUUCUGAUAGCAGCGAUAUAUCUGCAUUUCCAGAAUGACCGAUUUCCAGCUCUAAUAAAAGGUCAUAGGAAAAAAAACGUUGUGUUUUUAUUUUUGUUUGCAGUGCAAAUCCUUUGGCUUGGUCCCAAAUGCCAGCUCUUUAUUAGAGGAGAAGAUUGAAAAAAAAAAAAGAGAAAAGAAAGAAAGGGGAAUGUCUUAAAAGUUUUUCUUCAUAUGCGUUGAGCUCUUCUUGCUCUGAAUACGAGUAAUAACAACCUCUAAGCUUUCUCCCCGCUCCUUGUGUGACGUUCAAACGUGGUACGGAUAUACAUGCAAAGGUCAAGGCAGCAAAACUCUACAUGUGAAAAUUAGCUACAGUAUUGCAAAGCAUCAAAAGUUCAAAAUUAGCUACAUGUUAAAAGGGAUAGUUCCGAAUUGGAUUGCACUAUUUUCCUGAUACACCAACCAGCUCAGACGAUAAUGAUUGAUUGCGCUUAAACGAUUACCAAAUAAUUCAAAAACCAAAUUUGACUGACCGAAACUCCAAAGCAGAGCUUACAACAUUAAGAGAUAAGUGGGUAAAAUUAAUAAAUGAAUGAAUUCAAUCAUAACUAAAUUGAUUGUAACCCUUUGUUCCUUCCCUCUCGCUUUCUCUUUAGCUUGUGAGGGUUAGAGUUUCCAUUGUAUCGAUCCCUUCCAAUCAAAGGUGAGUUGGGUGUGUAGUCUGCGUCGCAGGGUUCCAAACCCUUUCAAAAAGAUUAAAUAAACUGAUAGCAUAUUUUAAAAGUCACCAAAACCUUACUAUGAAAGAAGUAGAGACUUGCCUUGUAUUAGGUGUAGCUCGAGGCAAUCAAUCAUCACCGGGACAUAGUUCGGAAACAAGCUUUACUACUCCCCACAUGGGUGCAUCAUUCUGCAGAAAUCCAUGAAUUAAGUUAAAAAAGAGUACAGUAUCAUCACGAACAUAUAAGCAAGAAAUCAUGUCAACUUCACCACAUUUGACGAAUCUUUCAAUGGAAUGAAGCAAAAUUCCCAGCUUAUGGCACCAAAAACAUAUGCAACCUUUUCCUCUUUUUGGGACCUCCAUACACCCACAACAUUGAUCUUUCAACUUUUUUUGAGAAAAUUUGACGUGUUAUUUUGGUAUUUUCGCACGAUCUUACGAGAUUGCGAACGAACAUAUCAACGUUCUCGGAAUCUGCCGAAACCAAAUUCUUGGCUCUUUUUGGGACCUCCAUACACCCACAACAUUGAUCUUUCAACUUGUUCGCAAUCUCGUAAAUUUAGAAAACAAAAGAAAACAAAAGAAACGAGUUAUUCUUUUGGAUUAAAUUUAGUUUACCCUAUUGAGGUUUGGGGUUAACAUCAUUUCAGUAUCUAUACUCUCAAUUUUGAAAAUUUACCACUUAAAGUUUUCAAUUUUCAUAAAUCAUGCCCAAUUGCUAAAAUUCCGUCUAAUUUGAACGUUAAUUUUGACUUUAUAACUCAUUUUAAGGGCUAAAAUAGUCAUAUAACAUCAUUUAAUGUCUAAAAUUGCACGAAAUUUUAGCAAUUGGGUUUGAUUUAUGAAAAUUAGAAACUUUAGGAGGUAAAUUUUAUAAAAUUAAAAGUAUGUUAAAAUGAUGUUAACACCAAACCCCAUGGAGAUAAACUGAAAUUAAUCAUAUUCUUUUAGUGUAGCCCUUAAUGAUAAAGAUUCAGUAUACAAAAACAUCUACGAGGUCAUCCAUUUUUACUAUGAUUCUCAAUUAAAAAAUCAAGAAAUUCGUCUGAAUGGUAUACGAAUUUUUGUUCCUUAUAAACUUUUGUAUAUCAAGUUUUAAAAAUAUCAAAUUGGUAUCUCAUGUUUCUAUCUGGAUCUUAGAUUGGUAUAUAUAGCUACUAAGAUGACUAAUUUACCAAAAAAAAAGAUGACCAAAUAUUAAGAUGAGUAAUUUACUCACAAAUUUAUAAAAGCCAACCCAAGUCAUCACAUUCCAAAACCUCUUCAAAUAUUUCUGGAAUAUGAAAACAAAUAUAAAAAAAACUAAGAAAAAAAGAGAACUUAAGGGUAAAUUGGUCAUCUUAAUGAGUAUAUAUACAAAUCUUAGGUCUAGAUGGAAACAUGAGAUAUCAUUAUGUAUUUUCAAAACUUGAUAUACCAAAGUUUAUAAAGAGCAAAAGUUUGUAUAUCAUUCAGACGAAUUUCUCUAAAAAAAUUAGUUAAAAAGUUUAAAUAUAAAAUAAAAAAAUAAAAAUACAACACCUUCACAAAAGGCUAAUACAAAAUUAUCAUGAUACUAGGUUCCUAACAUCGGGGUUGAACCAUAACCCCAUUAAUAUUUCAUAGAAACCCAACAACAUUCCAGUUAGAGUGGAAAGUCCAGUUGGUACAAGCUUACAAUCAAUCAAACCAACCGCAGAGCUCUAAUAGUUUAUUUUGCAGUUAAAACCCACAACCUGUAAGCCUUGCAGCACUGUAUAUGAUUUGGGUUUAGCCUUCAUGUAUCUAAAUUUCUCUGGAAAAUAAUUAGCUCGACACUUCCUACAAAUUAUGCCAUUGCAGCAUAUUUCCAAAACGAAAAAAAAUGGCAUAAGAUUUUACUAUUUUGUUGAAAAUAAGAGACAAACUACAGAACAAACAGGCAUUACAAUCAGUGGCAAUCGAAAGUAACCCAAUGAAAGUAAUGAAAAGUUGAAAACCAAAGUAAACCCAGAUAAAAGAAAGAGAGGAUGAAGAGAAUAUAUGUACCCAAAUCGGACUCGAGCGGUUGACGGUGGCUGCGGCUGGAAGUGGAGAUCGGGCAGCCACACAAGAGAAGAAGGUGGCAUUUGUAUUACGAGUGUUACAAAGGUUUGGAGGGGGUGGGUUUGAGAGACACAGUCCUUCACUUUGGGCUUAAGGACGAGCCCAAUUCAAAUCAGCCAUCGACACUACCAACCUCUUUCGUAGUUGAGUGAAAUUUACACUCCCCAAAUUACAAACCACACUAUUUUCAUUGAGGUUGUGGUUAGACCAAUGGGCUAUUUGAUUCGGAAUCAGUGUGAACCCAUCCCUGUCGUGGAACGAGCGUUUAGAAGUUGAGACGUGCUUCCAUUGUGAGGAGAUUAUGAGUUGUCAUGAUGACAAUUAGUUUCCUUAACUACUACGAGGGAGGAGGGGUCGUUCGGUGAAACAUGGCUUACGUGUGGGGAUUACUUAUCCAAAUGUGGUUUUAGGCCGUUUACUCGCGCAGAUGUCCCUAAAUGUUGAUACAAGAAUUUACCUUAGAUUUCUGCUAAGCAAUAGGAUGCUUAUGCUGUGAUUCCCUACAAGACGAUGACUAGCGAUCAGAAGGGCUCCCGGACAGAUUCAGGUGUUGCCUCUUCGACGCUCAAAUCAUGAUCCAUAGCGAAAGCAAUUGGAUUUCUUGUAGAGACUAGAGGUAAGCAUAUACCUGAGCGUAAGAGCUUAGAAUCCCUUUUAUAGGUGGAGAGACGUGCUAUCAGCUGGAGCAUGCUCGUUUCUAGAAGAUUUCCACACGUGCGUCCAAAAGUGAGACCCAUGAGCGCGCAUGAAUGGUCAUAGCUCGUUGGUGAGAUACAUAUGCUUAGUCAUGCAUAACAUAGUUGACGGUGGUCCCACUAACAAAAACGAAAAGGAAACAAAAGGUAAAGGUGCGGUGCGGUUGGAAAUGAAAGGAAAAGUAAAUGGUGCCGAGGCUAUGGUAAAGGUUGCAAAAGCUGCAGUUUGUUUGUUUGUUGAGAGAGUUGUUUUUCUUUUACCCUAAAGCUGCACAAUACAUACUACCAAAUUUUUGUUGUUCAUUGUUGUAGGAGGAUUAAAGUAUUUAUUUUAUAACUGAAUUAAGUUAUCUUAAUUGUUUAAAGUUGCAUCUCCUUGUAAAACAUGGCUAGAACGAAGUAGUGACAUAAACCAUGAGAUAAACAUAAUUUGGGCCGCAUGUGUCAAACUAUCAGCUUAUGGAUAAACAUUAGAAUAAUAUUCAAAUUUAUAUUUGGGCUCAAAUAUUGGUGUCGCAAAAAAAAAGGUCAUAUUAUUGUUUUUCUUUUAUUAUUAAGUAGUAUGAGCCAUUACUUACCAAGGUAGCUGAAAUUUUAAAAAGGUAAAUUUUUCUAUGGUAUUUGAUCUAUGACAAAUUGGAUAGUUGGUACCUAGUGUUUAGAAGACGACACUUUUGAUACAUCAAGUGUUUAUUUUGACAGUUUGGUACUCCCGUUAACUUUUCACUUCAAUAUGAGAGUAAUUUUUUUUAUCAUAAUGUGAGGGUAAAAUUGUCAUUUGGGUAUUAUUAAAAAAUAUAAACAUAAAAAAAACAUGUCUUUUGUGGAUUCAUUAUACAAUAUCGAGAUGAAUUUAUGUUUUGUUCAAAACAUACUUGAAUUUUGUAUUUAAGAAAUUUAACCGUUGUGAUCUAAAUAGUGACGAGACUACUCCAUCAAGAUAUAUGUAAUUGAUACACUGAAAGUCGUAUCAUGGGUGUUUAGAUCACAAAUAAAUAUUUAAGUAAUUUUAAAUACACACAUUUAAUCUCUCAUUGCACACCCUUUAUUUAAUACAUUACCCAUUUAGUUUCUUAUUUCAAUAUUAUAGUAAAUACACAUCCCAAACUGUCUAAAUACCCUCAAUAUCUAAAACUAAUAAUAAUCUGUUAUUUAAUAUAGUUAUUAUAUAUUUAUUAUUUCACAACUCUCUUUACGUAUUCUCUUUUAUUUUUUGUUAGAUAUAUUUGAUCGGGUAAGAAAUUUUUUCUUGAUAUUUUUCAAUUUAUAAUCAAAAGAGUAAUAUUAUAUUUAAACUCCAAAUCUCCAAUAUGAUCUCAAUCAGCUAGAAUUUGAAGAAAAAAAAAAUUUUGACAUACAUAAUUUUUUCAAAGUUAAGAAACUAGUAUUAUAUUUAAACACCAAAUCUCCAAUAUGAUCUCAAUCGGCUAGAAUUUAAAAAAAAAUAUAUAUUGACAUACAUAAUUUUUUUCAAAGUUAAGAAACUAGUAAAAGUACAAUAGCAUAAAAACUAGUUUUUAGUCUGUAAGAUAAAAACGAGUUUUUAGUCUGCAAGAUAAAAACUAAAGUUGAUAAAAAAAAAAACCAAAUGAAUCGGUAAAUAGUACAUGUGAUUAUGACAGUAGUCGAAAUUCAGGUGAUGAAUUUUGGAGAAGAAAUUUUUAUUUCUUUUCUUUUUAUGCGUAGUAAUAAUGGAGAAGAGUUAGGUUUUAGGGAAGAUGAAGUUUCUUUUUUCUUUUCUUUUUCUUUUCCUAAUAAUUGAUGGAUGUUUUUGUAAUCAAAACAUACCUAUAAAAUCUGAUGUGAAAUAUAAAAUAAUAAUGGUGUGUAUUAAGAGAUUAAAAAUGUGUAUUUAAAAUUUCUCUAAAUAUUUCUUAAACAUAAAAUUAAAUCAUGUCAAAUUCGAUCAACAUAACCCAGACUCUAUUUUUUUUUUUACAUUUUAUAUUUAUAAAUAGUACUUAUUUUUACCCUCAUAUUUAACAGAAAUCUCAAAAUGUCAAACUGAGCAUAAGUUAAGAUACUAAGGUGUCAUUUUUUUUGGUAACAUAAGAACCAUGUACAUUGUACAUGUACAACUGUAAGCACAUGCAGUAAAUCCAUAGUUUCGAUAAAACUAACCGACCAACCUCGAAAGUCCAACGAAACAUGGUAGCGCAAGUGAAUGGGACUUUCCUUCCGUUUUGACUUGCCUAGUCCCUAGAUAUUGGAUAGGGGAAUCCAACUGUAACAAGAAGAAGAAUGGCGGUCUCGGCUUUCAGAUCCUCCAGCAGAAGAAGCGAUCCCACCGGUGCCUCAACUUCAUCAUCAGCUAAACGGAGCACCGACAUAGACUCUAAGCCAAACCCUAAACCAAUCAGAAGAUCUAGAAGCGUGAGCACUUUCUCGAGGACUGCCACUUUUAACUCUCACAACAUUGACAAGAGAGACAACCCUCUCUUUUGGUCCUCCUCAGAUUCACCAACAUCACUUCACCCCAAAACCCUACACAUGUUCUCUAUAAGAUUCAUGAGUUCUUGUCUUCAUGAGCUUGCAAUUGAUGAAAUCCAUAAACAAAAAUAAAGACACCUGAGUUUUUAUUUUUUCAUUUCGUAUGUUGCUUGUGAUAACAUCAGAAACAUUCAAUAGUAAAUCUGUUGUGCAAACUCACUUAAUAAAAUAUUCAAACAUCUUUCUCUUCUGCUCUAGUCUAGAAAAGCAAUAUCAUUUUUUCAAUUCUAUUCGAUCUGGCUCUUUUUGUGAAGGCCGUGAAGCUCCUAAUUUCCUAAAGAUAGAGGAAAGAAGAAGAUAACAAUUUUCCCUCUACAAAAAAAAAGAUGACAAUUUUUUUAUUAUUAUAGAGAUGAAAUACAUAUCUAGAGAAAAAAUAAUGAAUUGAAAUAUGAAGAGAUAAAAAAUACCUAUGAAAAAUGACCAAUUGACGUUUACCAUAUUGGAGGUACCGUUUUGAUGUUUUCAAAAUUUGAAACUUAAAGUACCAAAGUUUAUAAGCAAGAAAAGAUGAGGUACCGUUACGACAAAUUUCUCUUUUUAUUAUAUAAAAUGAAUAAUAAUAAAAAACUCAAGGGUAAAUUGGUCAUUUUAUGAAUAUAAAACGGAGCUAACGGUUUUAGAUACCAAACUUCAGUCGAGGUAAGAACGUGAGAUACUAUUUUGAAGUUUUCUAAAGGUGAGAUACCAAAACUUUGCUUUGUUAAAAGGUGAGACAUUGUUUAUACAAUUUUCCCAUUUAUUAAAGAUAUUUUAGACAAAACAUAAUUUGGUAAUUUUCUGAGAGGGCGGAUCCGUGGCACCCAGAAUUAUAAUCAAUAUUAUAACCCAAAUUUUAUCCAUUAGAUCUAAUCGUAAUUAACGGUUGAGAUAAGUCAUAAAAAAUUUAAUCAUUAUUCUAUAAUAAUAGAGAUAAGAUUUUGACAAAUGGGUUCGGUUCAAGGCCAUUUAUUUUUACAUAAUUUUUGACACUCUUUCAUGGCCAUCAGAUUUUAAAAUUUUCAACUGUCUAGAUCACUUGCCAAUACAUAAUUAAAAGAAAACCAAAUCCAAUUCUAACUUUUCAAAAAUCAAAAUCAGAUCAUACACAAUAAAUAAAUAAAAUAAGAAGAAGAGGAAGAACGUAGAAUAUAUGAGUUGUUUGACACCAUCAACUUCCAAAAACAUGCAUCACCUUCCCAUCGACAUAUCCAUCCGUAUGAAAAAAAUACACAGUUUACAAUUCUUUUUUUUUUUUUUUUAAAAAAACUACCACAGUUUACAAUUGAAAUUUUCCAAGGAUUUGGAAUACUAGACAAAUAUUAACAUUCUAGAGCAAGCAGACAACAUUGAUAUUAACAUUCCAGAGCAACCAGGCAACAUUGAUAGGCACAUUCACCGACUAGGUGCAUAUUUCCAGCAGCCCCUUAGGGCGGGCGGCAAGUUCCGGAAGACACCCUUUCGGAGAACCACCCAUACGACGCCGUACGAUCGGCCAACGUCCACCACUGCCAACGGCGGCUGGAUCUCCAAGCUCGUCGAUCCCGCUCAGAAGCUUCUCACCUACAGCGCCCACCGCCUCUUCUCCACCGUCUUCCACAAACGCCUCCCUCCGCCUUCCUCAGGUUCGUCUCUCUCUCUCUCUCUCUCUCUCUCUCUCUCGUCGUCGUCNNNNNNNNNNNNNNNNNNNNCAAAUGUUUGAGAUUUCAGACUGUAUCAUCUCAUAAUGGCUUCUUUGUAACUUUUCUGUAAAGGAUCCUCCUGGAGUGCAAAAUGGUGCCAUUGAGCAAAGUACUGGUCCCAGAGCUACUUCUGCUGGAGACGGGGGGUUUACCUUACUUGAGCAAAUUUUGGAGCAGAAAACCUUUACCAGGCAAGUCGUAUAUAUUAAUCACAAUGUUUUUUCUUCUCUUCUGGGACUUUGAAAUUGCUUAGAUAUUAUAAUUGCAGCCUUCCAUGACAACAUUGUGUUUCUUAUGCUAUCCUCUCUGUGCUUAUUAAGCUGUACGUGUUUUUUCAUUGAAAACAACAAGAGGAUUACUAGAUUGCUUGAUGGUCUCUGACCAUUUUUAGGUGAAAAAGUAAGGACCUCCUUGAUGAAUACCAGUGGAAGACCACUAUGGUUUGUCCAAGGCUGAGUGAAGCUAGUAGGUUUUAUUGCUUUAAUAGCUUGAUUCUUUUUCAUAAAUCCUUGAUAUUUUAUAUAUUUUAAAUGACAUAAAUGGAAUGCGUUGAAACCCUUGGGGAAAUCUUAUUGUGCAGGUUUAGCCCUAUCUGUCACACAUCAUUCCUUGUUUAUUUGUAGUUUGUGGAAGCAUAGUGAUGUCUUUGCUUGUUGUUUUACUUUCGAUAUGACUGUUUCCUCCAAAUAUAUUUUCAUUCCCUGCAAUGCUUUAAUUACACGCAUAGAUUGGAAUUUGAACUUCUUGGGAUUGGUUAUUAUUAGAGCUUAACCUGCUUGAGGUAUCCAAUAAAAGGAACAAAUAGAAUAUUCUGCUGUAAUCGCAUCUGUGCCACUUCUGCUUUUCAUAACUUGCCUUAUUUAUUGUACAUGUUUGUCAUGGUGUUGAGUUUCAUGUAUGUUAAUUCCCUGCAGACCUGAAAUUGAUCGAUUGAAAGAGCUCUUGCAUUCAAGGACUGAUGAUAUACCUACUGAGANNNNNNNNNNNNNNNNNNNNNNNNNNNNNNNNNNNNNNNNNNNNNNNNNNNNNNNNNNNNNNNNNNNNNNNNNNNNNNNNNNNNNNNNNNNNNNNNNNNNNNNNNNNNNNNNNNNNNNNNNNNNNNNNNNNNNNNNNNNNNNNNNNNNNNNNNNNNNNNNNNNNNNNNNNNNNNNNNNNNNNNNNNNNNNNNNNNNNNNNNNNNNNNNNNNNNNNNNNNNNNNNNNNNNNNNNNNNNNNNNNNNNNNNNNNNNNNNNNNNNNNNNNNNNNNNNNNNNNNNNNNNNNNNNNNNNNNNNNNNNNNNNNNNNNNNNNNNNNNNNNNNNNNNNNNNNNNNNNNNNNNNNNNNNNNNNNNNNNNNNNNNNNNNNNNNNNNNNNNNNNNNNNNNNNNNNNNNNNNNNNNNNNNNNNNNNNNNNNNNNNNNNNNNNNNNNNNNNNNNNNNNNNNNNNNNNNNNNNNNNNNNNNNNNNNNNNNNNNNNNNNNNNNNNNNNNNNNNNNNNNNNNNNNNNNNNNNNNNNNNNNNNNNNNNNNNNNNNNNNNNNNNNNNNNNNNNNNNNNNNNNNNNNNNNNNNNNNNNNNNNNNNNNNNNNNNNNNNNNNNNNNNNNNNNNNNNNNNNNNNNNNNNNNNNNNNNNNNNNNNNNNNNNNNNNNNNNNNNNNNNNNNNNNNNNNNNNNNNNNNNNNNNNNNNNNAGAGGCUUAAGCUCACCAAUGAGUACGGAGGCUUUUCAAAACCCAUCAUCUUCCACAAAGAGGCCACUUCUGUUGGGUGAACCCAAGCAUACUCUAGCAAAAUCAUCAUCAGAAAAUGGAGACAAUGCAGUUCCUAGAACAUGUUUUUCAACUGUUCCGUCGCAAUCCAGCAAAGCGGCUUCCAAAAUCUUUGAGCAUCUCGAUAAGAUCAACUCUCCAAAGGAGAAAUCAUCUGAGCCCAAGUUACUUCCUAUGAGCGAUAGAUCACCAACUAAGUUGUCGCCCUCCAUGCUACGUGGUCAGGCUCUGAAAAGCCUGGAGGAUGUGGAUUCGUCGAAAUUCCUGGAAAAUCCCUGUUAUAAAAAUGGUAAUAACUUGGAUGUUUCAUCUAAUCAACUCAUACUAGAUGCUUCUUCUCAAAAGCAUGACAAUGUUAAAGAAAAUUGUCCAUCAAGGGUUCUUGCCCCCUGUGACAAUUCAAGUACAGUAACCAAUGAAGUUGAAUCCACAACAGAAAGGAAAGAUGUAAUGGUAAAGGUUAAACCUGCAGUUUCUGCUGCAUCAAACACUGUUGUUCAUCCUCCUGAAAAGAAACGGCCGUUCGAGAUGAGUGCUCAUGAGGUAUGGUUGUGCUUUUUCAUCUUUUGUUGUUUAGUGAUAAUCUUUGGUGCAGUGUCUCAAAGUUUAAAUUUUUUCGCCGUAGUUUUACUAUGAAUUAAAACUUCAGUGAAUUUUUGGUAUUAGAAAAGCAAUUAUCUUUAAUAUUGUUUUUUAUAGGUAUCUUAUAACACUUAAUUAAAUGAGUUGAUUCGUUUGAAUAUGGUCUGUAGUAUCUGGAGCUGGAUGACGAUGAUUGUUCCAUUAAUGGCCACGUGCCUGGUUCAUUUGCUGAUGGGAGAGUACAGGUAGAUAAGAUUGCAGCUGCUAAUCUGGAGAAGCCUAUAGCUUCAACUGAAGUCAAACCUCCUUCAUCUUUUGCAUUAAAUGAGAAGUCUGAUAGCAGAACGUCUGAUGGGUACGUACUUUGUCAGCAAAUGAAAUGUGAAUUUGUACUUACACGCCUUGCAAAUUUCUAAUUGUACUUGUAUGUUCCUUUUAUCUGCAGUGUAUAUACAGUUGCGCCUGGUGCAACAGGUACCGUACCAAAACCAGUGCAUACAGAUAAAGCUGAUAAGAAUAAUUCAGAUGCUGAAGUCCCUUUUAGGGUACCAGAAAUUCUUGUGUCAUCAUCAGCAGCAGCAGCAGCACCUACUAGCAUAUUUUCCACCACUUCUCAAGUUUCCAACAAUUUAGCAAGUCAAAGUUCUGUCAGCAGCAUGGCCCCCACUGCCAACACUAACAGUGGUAACAACAUUGCUGCUACUAGUGCUGUUACCACCAGCAAUCUUUUUAGCUCAGUUUCAGCACCAUCCUUUUCAGCCGAACCCUGUUCUAAGUUUUCAGUCUCUAGUGCAACUACGGUGACACAGGUACCUGAAAAUUCUCCCUUGGAAUUGUUAGGAGACAAGAACAAGCAAGAUGGCGGUUUUGCUAAUCUAAGCCGCACAGUUUUGCCUGGCACAUCUACUACCAGUGCAGGCACAGAAAAUAGUUUUGUGGGUGUUUCUGCUGCUGCGUCCUUCCCUACUGCCACCAAUCAGUCGGGCCCUAGUUUCAGUUCUGGUAGUGGAUCCGGUCUUUGUGUCCAGGCAUCACCUAAAUUGUUGUUCAAAUGUGAACCCUCAACUGCCUCAACUGCGUUAACAUCUGGAAGUUCUUCCUUGGAAUUCUUAAAUGAUAGGAACAAGCAAGGUGGGUCCUUUGGUACUGUAAGCAGUUCCUUGUUUUCUGGCACAUUUGCAACAAGUGCAAGCGCAUCAAGUAACAGUUUUGGGUUUUCUGCUGCUGCUUCCAUGCCUACCGUUACCGAUCAGGCUCCUGGUUCUUCUCUGUUUAGUGGUGGCAGUGGAACUGGUUCUGGUACCCACCUGUCCCUGCUGGGACAGGAGUUGCGGCUUCCACACAGAGUGCACCUGUUCAACCUGGCUCAUCAUCUUCCAGUUUGGUGUUCAAUUUUGUAGGAAAUACAGCUUUCUCUUCUGGGAGCUCUGCACUCAGUUCUUCUACCCCCUCUUCUGGAGUGAACAGCAGCUCCAGUACUGCUCCAAGUACCACAUUUGGUAGCGGGUGGCUACCUGCUACAUCGUCUAAAUUUGCUUCCACAGUAGACUCUACAUCUUNNNNNNNNNNNNNNNNNNNNUUUCUGCUCCAACUACCAACAGCGCAUCGGGGUUUGCAAUAUCCAAUGGUGCAUCAUCAACUGGCGUGUUCCCCUUUACGUCAUUUGCAACUACUGCCGCAUCUCAACCUGCAUUUGGUAACUCCACUCCUAUGGGCUUUUCUACAGCUCCGUCUGGUAAUAAUGAUCAAAUGAGCAUGGAAGACAGCGUGGCUGAGGACACUGUUCAUGCAUUACUACCCACAGUUGCAGCCUUUGGUCAACAGCCUGUCUCAGCUCCUCAAUCUACACCCACGUUCCAGUUCACCCAGCAACCUGUGUCAACCCCUCAAACCCCCUUUGUAUUUGGAGGUUCCUCCAAUGGCUUCCCGUUUCAGAGCCAACAAAACCAAUCCAACACACAGAAUCCUUCGCCAUUUCAGCCUGUCAAUAGUUUGGCCAACGCGCAGAACCCUUCACCAUUUCAGGGUUCAAAUAGUCUAGGUUUGCCCACCAGUAGCUUCUCACUGGGCGCCCCUGACAAGUCUAAUAGAAGGAUUGUGAAGGUUAACCGUAGCAAGAACAGGAAGAAGUAGUUGGAUUGGUUUACGAAUGAGGGCAUAACUGCCCUUGUCAGCUUCCAAAUAUCAGAUACAUUUACUUUUCCUUUCCGUUAUUCUUAGGUGAAAAUUUUCGUGGUUGCCAUGAGAGGGGUAUCCACAUUUUAUACCGGUUUUGUAGUUUGAACACUUGACCCAUUAUUUGUAACAUUACAUGUAUGCCUAUUUUAUUAGUAUAUGAUGUAUGUCACAGCCUUGUUGUGCUGUUCUCCACUAUUUUCUGUAGCUAUUUGUAACAUAAAUGUAAUGGGUCGGAUUGUGUCCUCUACAGGCUGCUACUGCUUUUACGCCAGCAAUUCGUUUAUCAAGUAUUUUCAGUCUUUGUAGAUUUUGUAUUUCGGGUGUUUGCUUCUACAAAUUGAUUGUAGGCGUAACUAGCUAGCGUCAAAAAGGUGAACCCAUACGCCCUCUAUUUUCUGUUAGAGACAAUUAAGGAUUGGCUGAAAUCAAAGCUAUAACCUGGUUGCUGUAUUGCAUCAGUUUAGGAUCUGCCAUAUAUUUGUAAUGAACUUUAUUACGUGUGUAACAGUAGUGUAUCAGUAGCAUAUUUUGCUGCAAUAGAAGUCUUAUACUUAUAAACAAAGGUAAUGAGGUGUAGGUGUCUUACAGUCUUACUCGAUCGCUUCCCAAGUCCUAACUACCUCUGUACUUCUCAAAUCAACCUAUUCCCUCCCUCUCCUCUUAAUGGAAUAGAACUUGAAUAGGGCCUCGAAAAUUUAUUAAUUUUUCAGUAAUCUAUUCAUAGAAAAUUCCAUAAAAAUCAUUGUAUUUUGUUUUACGGCUAGCGCCGGCACUGUGUCCUAAUUGUCACUUCAAUCGUCAGUGGCAUUCUCUCAAUGUCCACACAAAUCUUCCGGCCUAACUACCGUAGCUCCCUUUGCUGGAGUUUAUUUUGUUGCUCAGACACAGGUGUCACAUCACAUGACAUCUAUGCCUUUCAAUAAUCCACAGACCUUAUGGUGGACCUCUCCAUGUCUAUAUAUAGGGACUGAAUGUAUGUUUCUCAUACCGGUAAACAGUCUCAUGUCAUUAGGUUCUUCCUCUUUCUCUUUGCAAAACGUCUUUUGUAUUUCAUCAAUUCGUAAAAAUCCUCUCUGUUACUCAUUUUACAAAAAAUAAUAUUGUCUUCUUCUUGUAUACUCCUGAUUACUAUAAAAUUUAUUACUUACAUAUUGGUCCUCUUUUGUUCCGAGGCUCAUGUAAAAUGGUCUCUACAGGCCUUCAUUUUCUUCCGAGUCCAUAGUCCCUUAUGCACUACUCUCAUCUGUUCACUCGUCUCUCUAGCACAAUCGCCUAGGACCCUCCUCCAUUUUGGAUAGUUUAGGAUCCACUCUUGGCACUCCUUCGAUUAGCUCAUGCA
rnacentral:lncRNA from 1 species